UGAAAAGGUGUUGUGGCAAGGUUUUGAUUAUCCCACAAAUACGAUGCUUCCUUUUAUGAAACUUGGGCUGGACAGGCGAUCCGGGUUGAACUGGUUCCUCACAUCUUGGAAGUCCCAAGAUGACCCGGGAAUGGGCAACUGCUCGUACCGGAUAGAGACAAGUGAGAGUCCACAGGGGUUCUUAUACAUGGGUCAGACUCCAUUGUGGCGGACUGGACCUUGGAUCGGUGAAAGAUGGUCCGGGGUGCCUCAAAUUAAAAAAACUUUCUACUCCAACGUUACUUUUGUGAACACUCAAGAUGAGGUAUCCAUCAUGGAUGGUACUGUUUAUGAAUCAAUCUUCUUUAAAAUGGUGAUCAAUGAAUCAGGAAACAUUGAACGGUCCGCAUGGCAUGAUAAUAAAUGGGUCCCGUAUUGGUCGCCGGAUCGGCAGUGUGAUUUUUACGGGAAGUGUGGUCCGAAUAGCAUUUGUUACCCAAACCCAAACUUUGCGGAUAAAUUUGAGUGCAAAUGCCUACCUGGAUUCGAACCCAAGUUGCAACAUGAGUGGUAUUUGGGAGAUUGGUCAGGCGGGUGCGUGAGGCAAAAAGGAUCAUCCGUUUGCCAAAACGGGGAAGGGUUCUUGAAGUUGGAAAGUGUGAAGGUGCCGGACACUUCUACGGCACGUGUGAACAUGAGUAGGAGUGGGGAAGCAUGUAAAGAAGAAUGCCUGAGAAAUUGUUCUUGCACGGCAUACGCAAAUGCAGAUGAAAGGCAGGGAGGGAGUGGCUGUAUAACAUGGCAUGGCGACUUGAUUGACACGAGGACCUUUUUGUAUACGGGUCAAGAUUUGUAUGUGCGAGUUGAUGCAAAUGUUUCAGGUAUAUUUCCAUUAUCAAUUUAUCUUCUUUCUUCUCUUUUCCUUAUCAAUAAUUCCUCUUAUAACGCCGAGGUUCCAUGAAAAAAAAGAUCUUCUUUCUUUAUGUCAUUAACAAAUUUGAGGAAUUAUUAUUUAGUUUGGUAGUUGUACGUUUGUUAUCAUUCUAAAAAAAAUCAUUUGGCACUGGUCUCUUGCCAAAUAAUAAAAGUGAAAUUGUUUCGUCAAGAGUGUAAGAUGACUUUUUUAGAGUACUAAUUUUUUUUAUAAAAAAUUCAGAAAUAUCUAUAAAUUAAUACUAAAAAUUUAGUUCUUAUGUUCAUUGGAGCUUUUUACAGGGUUUUUUUUUUCCCGAAUUUUUACAAGGUUUUUUAAACAUGGAAAUAAAUGCGUGUAUAUCUGCAGCUCAAUACGCAAAGAAGUCAAACAGUUCUUUUGGCAAGAAGAGGAAGCUGGAAGUUUCAGUAGCAUGUGGUCUAUUGUUCUUCCUUUUGUUUUCCCUUGCAUGUUGGUUGGUAAAGAGGAAGAGAAAAGGUAAACAAAUUUCCUUUUACUAGGUUGCCCUCUAAUCAUUCACAAUUAUGUAACUGGAUAUUGGUUUUAAUUAUUUAAGAACACAAUAUUAUUUAUUUAUGUACUUUUAUCACAGGUAAGAGAAGUCAGGAUAAACUUUUCAAUGUGACCAUAGCAUCAACCUCCUGGGAAGAUUCUUCUGCUAGAACAAAUAUUGAUGAAAGUGGAAUAAACUCUGAAUUACCAUUCUUUGAACUAAGUACCAUAGUUAAAGCCACACAUAAUUUCGCUUCCAACAACAAGCUUGGAACAGGUGGUUUCGGCUCCGUUUAUAAGGUGCGUAGUUGCCCUGAGAUAAUGUCUCAAAUCAUAAAUCAGACUUUGAAUAGACAUUUUUUAGAUUUAUUUUUUAGCCAUCUGCACUCCAAAUCAAUUAUUUUAUUAUUUUUUCCUCUACUCACCCUUGUAGUUAGGCCUGGCAAACGGGUCGUGUCUGUCGUGUUCUUGUCGUUUUCGUGUAGCACCUGUUAUCUUAACGGGUCGUGUUGUGUCAUACAUGUUAUCUUAACAGGUCCUUAACAAGUCGGGUCGGGUAAAGUGACCCGACCCGUUAAGAAAAAUAUAUUUUUUUUCUUAAAUUUGCACAUACCACACUUUGCCACAUAAAUAUUACUUCAAAACAUUAAAACACAUAAUUUAAUAUAUAUAUAUAUAAUUAUUUUAGUUUUUAGGGGUAUAAAAUUGUUAAAUUAAUAUAUAUAUAUAUAUAUAUAUACAUAUAAUUAUUAUAGUUUAUUCAUACUUUCAUUAAGUAUAACAUAAGAUUUUGUGGUAUCCACUAAUGUAAUUUUUUAAAUUGAAGAUCGAAUUCAUUCAUUGUAUUCAUAUAGAGUCAAGGAGUGUAACUGUAAAAAAUCAUCAAAAUCGGAGUUAAAAUAACCGUUAAAUAGUGAUUUUUCGUUUUAUAAUCGUCGAAAAGUUUUGUCUCGUUACUUGAUCUCUGAAUGUUUGUUCUUUGCAAUUUUUGGCGUAUGCGAUCUCGAAGUAUAUACAAACAUGUAUGACAGUUGGAUUGUUGAAACUAGUUUCGUAUAAUGCGUAUCCUAUCAAAACAAUAGAUUCACUAACACUUAGUUUAUUCUUACUUUCAUUAAGUAUAACAUAAGAUUUUGUGGUAUCCACUAGUAUAAAUAUUUUAAAUUGAAGAUUGAAUUCAUUCAUUAUAUUCAUAUAGGGUCAAGGAGUGUAGCUGUAAAAAAUCAUCAAAAUCGGAGUUAAAAUAACCGUUAAAUCGUGAUUUUUCUUUUUAUAACCGUUGAAAGGUUUUGUCCCAUUACUUGAUCUCUAUAUGUUUGUUUUUUGUAAUUUUUGGUGUAUACGAUCUCGAAGUAUAUACAAAUAUGUUUGACGGUUGGAUCGUUGAAACUAGUUUCGUAGAAUGCAUAUCCCAUCAAAACAAUAGAUUCACUAACACUUAAGAGUUUAUUCAUACUUUCAUUAAGUAUAACAUAAGAUUUUGUGGUAUCCACUAGUGUAAAUAUUUUAAAUUGAAGAUCAAAUUCAUUCAUUGUAUUCAUAUAGGGUCAAGGAGUGUAGCUGUAAAAAAUCAUCAAAAAUGUGAUUUUUCUUUUUAUAACCGUUGAAAGGUUUUGUCCCGUUACUUGAUCUUUAUAUGUUUGUUUUUUGCAAUUUUUGGCAUAUGCGAUCUCGAAGUAUAUACAAACAAGUUUGACGGUUGGAUCGUUGAAACUAGUUUUGUAGAAUGUGUAUCCCAUCAAAACAAUAGAUUCACUAACACUUAAGAGUUUAUUCAUACUUUCAUUAAAUAUAACAUAAGAUUUUGUGGUAUCCACUAGUGUAAAUAUUUUAAAUUGAAGAUCGAAUUCAUUCAUUGUAUUCAUAUAGGGUCAAGGAGUGUAGCUGUAAAAAAAUCAUCAAAAUCGGAGUUAAAAUAACCGUUAAAUAAUGAUUUUUCGUUUUAUAACUGUUGAAAAGUUUUGUUCUGUUACUUAAUCUCUGAAUGUUUGUUUUUUGCAAUUUUUGGCGUAUGCGAUCUUGAAGUAUAUACAAACAUGUUUGACGGUUUGAUCGUUGAAACUAGUUUCGUAGGAUGCGUAUCCCUUCAAAACAAUAGAUUCACUAACACUUAAGAGUUUAUUCAUACUUUCAUUAAGUAUAACAUAAGAUUUUGUGGUAUCCACUAUUGUAAAUAUUUUAAAUUGAAGAUCGAAUUCAUUCAUUAUAUUCAUAUAGGGUCAAGGAGUGUAGCUGUAAAAAAUCAUCAAAAUCGGAAUUAAAAUAACCGUUAAAUUGUGAUUUUUAGUUUUAUAACUAUCGAAAAGUUUUGUUCAGUUACUUGAUAUCUGAAUGUUUGUUUUUUGCGAUUUUUUAAUGGUGCGAUCUAGAAGCAUAUACAAAUAAGUUUGACGGUUGGAUCGUUGAAAUUAGUUUUGUAUAAUUCAUAUCCCAUCAAGUUCAAUGGUAUAUAUAUAUAUAUAUAUAUAUAUAUAUAUAUAUAUAUUAAGUAGAUUUAAUUCUAUUUAUUUUGUACGUAUAAUUAUUAUAGUUUUUUGGGGUAUAAAAUUUAAUUUAAAAUUAUAUAUAUAUAUAAUUAUUAUAGUUAAUAUUUUGGGGGUAUAAUUAUUAUAGGCUUUUUAUAUUAGCACCCCACAAAAUGUUGAAUGCACCCCAUAUUAAAAUUUAAUAUUAAAUGACUUAUUUACUCCACUAUGCAAUGACAAUUUUGACCUUAUUAGGUUUUAAAAAAAAUAAAAAUUUAUAAAUACACCUCAAAUCACUUUUAGCAUAUUAUUUAUUUUCUCAACUAUCAAAACCCUUUCAUCUUCCAUUGUUGAAUAAAACUCUAACCAAUGAAACUACAAACAUGUUGAUUGAGAAAAAUUGUUUUUGACGAAUGGAAUACAAAAUCGAUGUUUCUGAAGCUUUACAUGAGAUAAGACUUCACAUUUUUCAUUGUUUUAGUGAUUUCGAUGACAUCAAUAAUUAUUUAAUCUUGCGUUUGCCGCAUUAUUUAAACUUCUAUAUAUUCAUAUUCAUCUUUUAGGGUUCAUAUUAAUCUUGCGAACCUAGUAACAUGAGUCGUAUUAGUGCUAGAGUCAUAUACUACUUUUACAAAUUGACGAUAGCCAUUCUCCACAUGAACUCCUACUCUCAAUCUUUAGCUGUUUGAUUGACGUACAUUUCUCAUUGUGAGUUUUUCUUUCUUUUUUCUUCUUCUUUUCUUGUCACUGGGAGAUGAUCAGUGGAAAAUGAGGAGAGACAUGGCCUAUAUUUAAAGAAAUCUGAGACCGAUUCAGUUUUGAUUUAUUAAUUAACUUCUACACCUGGAUCAUUAGCAGAGAGAGGGUCUUUAUUUAUUUUGUUCAAGACUAAGUCUAAAGACUUGUGAAAUAUAUAUAGAAGCAUUCUUUGUUAGCAGUAACGAGAGAGUCUUUUUUUUUUCUUUUUUUUUACUCGAAAAGACUCAGCACCACGGGUCAUUUUUAAGGCUUUUUAGAAGUUGAAUAAGAUGAUUUCAAACUAUACUAAGAUGAUUUCAAAUCAUCAUUUUGAAAUCAUUCGGUAAACUAAACGUUCAGAUGAUUUGAAAUAUUUUGACAAAUUAAACGUUCAAAUGGUUAGAUUCAAUCCCUGAAAAUUAAAAAUGAGUGUUAUAAGAUUUGAGAAAUGUGGGGUGUAAAGAAAAUGUGGGGUGUAUGUACAAAAUAUAAGAUGUAUAUUGAGAAUGUGGGGUGUGGGGGUAUUAUGGGAAAGUAUGUGGGGUGUAUUUAGAUAAUUUUUAAGUGAAAAAGCAAAUAUGGGGUGUAUUAAGUAUGUGGGGUUUAUUCAACAAUUUGUGGGGUGUUAAUAUAAUUAGCCUUAUUAUAGUGUAUAUAAUUAUUAUAAUUAUUAUAGUUAAUUUAAUAUAUAUAUAUAAUUAUAGUAUUUUUUAGGGUUAUAAAAUUAUUAAAUUAAUAUUCUGCUUAUCGUGUAUCGUGUUACCCACGUAUAUACCCGAACCAACCAGUUAUCUUAACAGGUGAUUAUCGGGUUACCCGAUAACGACCCGAUUCGUUAUCGUGUCGACCCGAACACCUGUUAAUUUCGUGUUGUGUUGUGUCGAGUUAUUGGGUCGUGUCAGGAAUUGCCAGGCCUACUUGUAGUUUAAACAAAAGAACAUAAUGAAUAAAUCUUGCAGAGAAAGAAAUAGAAUCAAGAAGAGAGAGGGAGCAAGAUUUAUAGAGAGAGAGAGAGAAAGAGAAUCAAGAAGAGAGAGGGAGCAAGAUUUAUAGAGAGAGAGAGAGAGAGAGAGAGAGAGAGAUUUUAGACAGAAAAAGUGAAUCUUUGUUAAUGGUUUCAGAAAAAAUACAAGGUAGUGAUCCAUAAGGAUAUAUAUCCAAACUAUAUUGCUUACAAGCUAAGCUAACAUUUAGCUCACAGGUUAUUGACACUUGCAAACAAUAUUACAGUUAACAAAAAUCAAGAGACCCGUCCAAUAAAGACUGGAAAGGCUGACUCAAAAAUAUAUUUCAUUAAAAUUCAUACCCAAUCAAUAAUCGAUAAGUGAUGGGAACUAUCUUGUUUCGACUUUUCACAAUUAUCCCACACGGUGAUGCGGGUUUUGAAAUUGUAUAAAACACAUAGAAAGUUUUAAAUCUAUAUAUGAUAAGCCAUACUACUUAUAUACAUGUGGAAAUCUAUUCACAAACCUAUUCCUAAGCCAUACUAAUUAUAUAUAAGUGAUGGUUGCAUGGUAUUGAUCUUCUACACAAAAAAAGCAAACGUUUUCCACCCUAGGAAAUUGUUAAGCACCUAUCAAACUAAUUAAUUGGAAACAGUAUGGUGCUUCCCAAUCUAAAGAGUCAAUGACACUAAAGCAGCAGAUUAGUGAAUAGAUUAGCGAAUAGUUAAUUAUGAUUUGUUUUGGGUCCAAAGAAACCUUGUUAGGUGAUGGUGAAUCAAUAUGAAAGUAAACAAUGCCGAUUUCAAAAUGGAUACUAAAGAGCUAUUCAUCCGCAUAAGUAAAUACAUACCAACAGAAAAGUGGGCUAAUCCAACCAAUCUCACCAAUGGACAUUGUCACCCGAGCAAUUCGGACUAAAUCUUUGAUGAAACAAAAAAAUGCUGAGGAAAAUGAUCAUUACCCAAAAUUCCAUUCUGAACAAAUAUAUGGACCAAUCUGAAGUAAGACGAAGAAUUAUGACAUGAAAAACUUAAUAAAACCCAAUUUGAACGAAGAACUCAAUCUGAAGCAGAUUUUCACAUGCAAUAGUUCUAGAAGAUGCCUAAGAUGACAAGGAGUCAUUUGAGACCAUCAACUCAACCCCAUUCGAACGCAAUCCCAAAAUCAAAAAGGACAAAAUGGGCAAACAAAAUCAAAGCAUUUUUAUGUACAUGCAUUGAGUUUUACUCCUUUGUUAAUGUAUAAAUGCAAUUUCAAGGGGAGGAUAUAUAUAUAGAGCUACGAUUAUGUUGAUAAUUUUCUUGAAAGGUAAGUGCACUAUAAGUUGAAUUUGGAUUAUAAAUUCAGGGUGUGCUUGAUAAUGGAAAGGAGAUAGCAGUGAAAAGACUAGCCAAGAAUUCUGGCCAAGGAAUUGGAGAGUUUAAGAAUGAAGUUGUGUUGCUUUCAAAGCUCCAACACAGGAACCUUGUGAGGAUCAUGGGUUGCUGCGUUCAAGAUGAAGAGAAGAUGCUGAUCUAUGAAUACUUGGCAAACAAAAGUCUUGACUUUUUCAUUUUCGGUAUGUCUUUCUUUUACUUUUGUUCUUCUUUUUAUACAAGCAAUAUUGUGGAGGGGAAAUCGAGCUCAGGACCUCGGGUGCAGGAUUGAAUGCUCUAAACUCAACUCGGUUACAAGCACCUUUCUUUUCACUUGUGUAUCUAAAAUUGUCGGUUAAAAACCUUGAACCAAGCAAGAAUACAAUCUAAUUUACUUUGCUUACUUUUUUCCCAUACGAAGCAAAAGAGGCGUUCUUGGAUUGGACAAGACGCCUUGAGAUAAUAUGUGGGAUUGCUAGAGGGAUUUUAUAUCUUCAUCAGGAUUCAAGAUUAAGAAUCAUCCAUAGAGAUCUAAAGGCCAGCAAUGUUUUGUUGGAUUCUGCUAUGAACCCCAAGAUUUCAGAUUUUGGUAUGGCUAGGAUAUUUGGAGCUGAACAAAUUGAAGCAAAUACAAACCGUGUGGUUGGGACAUAGUAAGUUUCAUUCAAGACUAAAAGUACACCUGUUUUUUACAAUUUUCAUCCCUAUUUCACAAGGCCACAAACGUGAGUACAACUUUUGUUGAAUACUACAGAAAGAAGCUGUGAUACUUAAUCAAUUUUAUUUUGUUGCUUCAGCGGUUAUAUGUCACCAGAGUACGCAAUGGAAGGAUUUUUUUCAGUAAAGUCUGACGUAUAUAGCUUUGGCGUUUUACUACUAGAAAUUGUUACUGGCAGAAAGAACACUAGCUACUACCACGAUAGUUCUUACUCAAAUUUAGUUGGACAUGUAAGCAUAACAUUAAGACGUACCAAACUUCUCUCCGUCUGCUUUUAUAACUUGAUGAUUAAUUUGUAAAUGGUUUUUAGGUUUGGGACUUAUGGAAGGAAAGUAGAGCCUUGGAAAUCAUUGAUUCAUCGCUGGGAGAAUCAUACCAUGUCAAUGAAGUUCUAAGGUGUAUUCACAUUGCCCUCUUGUGCGUGCAAGAGCAAGCGAAGGAUCGUCCACUCAUGUCAGCAGUGGUUUCCAUGUUGGGUAAUGAUGCAGCAAUUCCUUCACCAAAGCAACCUGGAUUUUUGUUGAAGAGUGGGGACCCAUCAGCCAAUACAAAAGGAGCUUCCUCUAUAAAUGACAUGACCCAUACAGAAGUAGAAGGUCGCUAAGGGGAGAACUAGACGAAUACUCGGAAAUACCAUCAUUGAAUUUAGAGUACGAUCACGUGAUAAGUGAGAUAAGAAUAGAUGAUAUACUCCGAUUUCACUCAAUAAUUUGCCUUUUAAUUAGGGAUCUAAGUUCUAUAUCUACAACACUCAUCAUCUCUCUUGUUGUAAAUACAUGCUAUAAAUUGUGUGCCUUAUAACUAGGGAUCUAAGUUCUAUAUUUGCAAUACUCAUCAUCUGUCUUGUUGUAAAUACAAAAUAUAAAUUAAUUGCAACACUCGUCAUCAGUUCGACGAGGCUACAUAAAAGUACUUUCUAACCGCCAUAGACAUUUAGGAGGGCUGAGAACUUUGUGGCUCAAGGUUUUAGAAGCAGGCAUACUCAGACACUAAUCAAGCCACGUGUCAACUAACAGUCAAGACUCAAAAACAAAAGUCUAGAGCGGGACAUGAAGCUGGUCUGGCCUGCUCGAAGUGACAUGACUAAUUAAUCAAGGCCUAGCGGGACGCUCGGCACACAUUGGACAUUUGGAUGUUAUGAUAAUUUAGUGUUAGAAAUGAUAAUUUAGAGCUUGAAUAUUGUUCACUAUCACAUGUGCUAGUAUAUGCUUCAAAAAAUUUUAGAGGCAAAAUAUUGUUAAAAAUUAUGAUGCUCUUAUUUGUACGGUGAUUUAUACAAAACACUGUAUUAAUGGUGAUAUUUACAUAAAACUAUAUCAUAGUGAUUAGCGAAUAGUGAUUUCUACAUAAAAUUAUAUUAAAAAUAUUUGAGAUGGUAGUCAAAUCUUAUGCAUAAACUCUGUUGUGAUAGUGCAAAAGUUUUUACAGAUUAGAAAUAGUCCAAAAUUGUUUGAGUGCGGUAUCGGGCUCGAAUUUUUUAACCUCACUCUUGCUCAUCUCCCAUAAGAAUCAAGUCAAGCUUACCCGCAAGCUCGAAAAAAUUAAAUAAGCCAAAUUUAAACAUAAUAGUAUUCAGUUCGGCUUGACUAGUUUGCAGUCCUACAUUUAUUUAAAACACCCCUCUGAAUUAUUACCCAAAGACGGGACCUUUUUGUAUCUUUAAGUUGAAAAGCUGAGUGAAUUAUGACUUUCUCCAAUAAAUCCAGAGAUGAUAAUUGGAUAGAUAAUUCCACUGACCAAUCAAUUAACUGUUGGAAAAUAUUAGUAUUUUGGUUUAUUUGAAUGUUUGGUUUUAUGGGUUUAGCCCGUUAGAAUUAGGUUUGUUAGAGAUUAGGGUUAAUUUAUUAUAAAUAGGGUGCUUUGUUAUUCAUUAGAGAACAAGUUAGCCACAAUGUAGUCUCUUAGGGUUUUGUAGCCGUUUCGGCAUUCUCGUUUGUUUAAUAAUAUUCUUAUUAUUUGUUAGUCUUGUUCGUUGCGCACUCUGAUAUUCAACUUGGUAUCAGAGCGGGUUCGAUCCUUAGGGUUCAACCCGUUCUCAUUGGUAUCAAUUUGUUUGCCUUUGUCGUCGUUCGUUUUAGAUUUGUUAGUUGGUAUUGAUUGUUUGCAAGGAAAAGAAAAAUGAAAGGAAAAAAAAAAGUUUUGCUUGCAGAGGAGAAGAUUCCCCAGCAAAUAAAAAAAUGGAACUUUAACGAAAAGCACCCGGUACUGUUCACUUUAACGAAAAACCACAUUUUUACACUAAAAAGUCAAUCCUGGUACUAUUCACUUUACCCUUUAUUUUGUCCUUAUCAUUAAAACUCAAAGUUUUCAAGCCCUUUUCAUUAGUUUUCCUAUAAAAAAAAGGGGACGAAGGAGAAAAGAAGAAAAAGAAGGAAAAAAAAGAGGAACCACGGAAAGGAAGAAGAAGGAAGAAAAAAAUGGGAAAAAAAAAGGAAGGAAAAAAAUAUGGUUGUUUUGUGGUCCGUGUAUUCUUGCAUUGGGCAUGGUAACUUGAACUUGGAAUGGAAAUUUGGCAUCGACAUUGGUAUCGGCAUCGGCAUUGGUAUUGGCAUCAGCAUCGGAAUCGGCAUUGGAAUCGGCAUUGGAAUCGGCAUCGGCAUCAGCAUUGGUAUUGGCAUCGGCAUCAGCAUUGGAAUUUGAAGGCUUGCAUCCACAUCUGCUUGUUGGCAAACUCAUGUCGUCUACCGCCAUGAGUUUGAUAGGGGGUGUUGGAAAAUAUUAGUAUUUUGGUUUAUUUGAAUGUUUGGUUUUAUGGGCUUAGCCCGUUAGAAUUAGGUUUUGUUAGAGAUUAGGGUUAGUUUAUUAUAAAUAGGGUGCUUUGUUAUUCAUUAGAGAACAAGUUAGCCACAAUGUAGUCCCUUAGGGUUUUGUAACCGUUUCGACAUUCUCGUUUGUUUAAUAAUAUUCUUAUUAUUUGUUAGUCUUGUUCGUUGCGCACUCUGAUAUUUAACUUUAACUUGGAUAGAGUUUGCACAAAAACACAAGAAGAUUAAAACCCUUAAUGCAAAUAUGUCACAAAAUACUAUAUACGUGACAAAUCCGAAUCGGUGUUUAGGGGCAUCUCUAAUGAGAAAAUACAAAAUUUGAGAGGAAAAAUCAUAUUUACGUUUCUGAUCGAUGUAAAUGAAGCUAUACUCCAAUGAGAAUGAUGAAAAUUUGAGAUCCCAUUUAAUUUUGUCUCCUUGAUUAGUGGGACUCACCACCAAAAGAUGUAAAAAAGAAUAUAAAUUUAAGUUUUUAUUUACAUCCUUCAACGAAGAUGAAUAAUUUAUAUUUCGCCAUUGGAUAAUUUUUCAGCAAAGAAAAAAAUAUAAAAUGUCCAUUUCAAAGUACUUUGAGAGAUGCCCUUGAGAAGAAAAGCUUACUUACCGUUAUAAUUGUUUAGUAAUCUGAAAUAAUUAUUUACCGCUAUGCAUUUUAGAAUCUAUUGUGUAAAUAAUUAUUCAAUGUUAUGUGCUAAAAUCCAGUUAUGUAAAGAUAUGUGAUUAACUCGAGAUAGAGUAGUUAUAACAUUCCAAAUUUCGAAUAAUCUGGUAGUUCUCGAAACAAAGAAAGAAUGAAGAAAAAAAACCUCUGAAAACAAAAUGUGAAAAGGUGUAAUAGUAAUUUCAUCACUGUAUUACAAUUGUUAUUUUUCUUUUUUGGGCGUAUUAAUGUGUUGUGAGUGUAUGAUUUGGUGGUGAAAGUCUCUGUCUGUCUCUGUCUGUCUCUGUCUGUCUCUCUCUCUCUCUCUCUCUCUCUCUUCGCUCGAAGUCUCAAAAACACACUCCACCAGUAGCACCCGAAAACCUCGUAAACCUUUUUCUUCCAUUUCAUUUCUUUACCGAGUGACACGAGCGAGCGAGUUGAGAAAUGGCGACUCGGUUCCCGGACGAUUUCAAGUGCCCAACUUCCCUCGAAAUAAUGUCGGACCCGGUUAUACUCUCCUCGGGUCACACCUUUGAUCGGGCCUCCAUCCAACGCUGGCUCGACGCCGGUCACACCCGGUUACAAAAGGGUUGAUUGCUAUUGCACUUGUUCAGUUCGUUCUUCUGAUCCGGUGCUGCGCUUCAAUCGAUAGUAUAACAACUGAUCAAGCGAUCAGGGAUGGCGAAGUUCUAUUCUCUAGUGGAGAAGUGUUUGAGCUUGGUUGAUCUUCAGCCCCAGAAAAUCUACGAACACUAUGUUGGAAUCUGGUAUAAGAAAGAUGUAGAAAAAAGAGUUGUAUGGGUUGAAAACAGAGACAAUCCUGUCAAUGACACUUCAGGAAUCCUCUCAACUGGUGCAAAUGGUAACCUCUUCCUCUAUGCCGAAAACCAAAGCGAUAUUCCCCUCUGGUCUGCCAUAUCCAAUGUUUCAAUCGCAUCAUUACCAUCCAAUUCCACACAUGAGCCUAAUUACAAAGCUCAGCUCUUAGAUACUGGAAAUAUUGUGGAGGGGAAAUCGAGCUCAAGACCUCAGGUGCAGGAUUGAAUGCUCUUAACUCAACUCAGUUACAAGCGCCAUUCUUUUCACUUAUGUAUCUAAAAUUGUCGGUUAAAAGCCUUGAACCAAGCAAGAAUACAAUCUAAUUUACUUUGCUUACUUUGCUAGUGGGAUCUUAUAUCUUCAUCAGGAUUCGAGAUUAAGAAUCGUCCAUAGAGAUCUAAAGGCCAUCAAUGUUCUGUUGGAUUCUGUCAUGAACCCUAAGAUUUUAGAUUUUGGUAUGGCUAGGAUAUUUGGAGCUGAACAAAUUGAAGCAAAUACAAACCUUGAGGUUGGGACAUAGUAAGUUUCCUUCAAAACUGAAAGUACACUUAUUUUUUACAAUUUUCAUCCCUAUGUCACAAGGCCACAAACGUGAGUACAACUUUUGUUGAAUAAUACAGAGAGAUGCUGUGAUAAUUAAUCACUUUUACUUUGUUGCUUCAGUGGUUAUAUGUCACCUGAGUACGCAAUAGAAAGACUUUUUUCAGUAAAGUCCGAUGUAUAUAGCUUCAGCAUUUUACUACUAGAAAUUGUUACCGACAGAAAGAACACCGGUUACUACCAAGAUAGUCUUUACUUAAAUUUAGAGCAUAACAUUAAGACAUUACCAACGUUCUCUCCGUCUGCUUUUAUAACUUGAUGAUUAAUUUGUAAAUGGUUUUUAGGUUUGGGACUUGUGAAAGGAAAGUAGAGCCUUGGAAAUCAUUGAUUCAUCUCUGGGAGAACCAUACCCUGUCAAUGAAGUUCUAAGGUGUGUUCACAUUGCCCUUUUGUGCGUGCAAGAGCAUGCAAAGGAUCAUCCACUCAUGUUAGUAGUGGUUUCCAUGUUGGCUAAUGAUGCAGCAAUUCCUUCACCAAAGCAACCUGGAUUUUUGUUGAAGAGAAGUUAUCAUACUAGUGGAGACCCAUCAGACAAUACUGAAGGAGCUUACUCUAUAAAUGACAUGACCCAUACAGAAGUAGAAGGUCGCUAAGGAGAGAACCAGACAUAUACUCGAAAAGAUUAUAUCAAUCAAUUAAGAGUAUGGUCUCUUAUGAGUGAGAUUAGAAGAAAGGAUAUGCCCUGAUUUCACUCAAUAAUUUGCCUUAUAACUAUUGAUCUAAGUUCUAUAUCUACAACACUCGUCAUCUGUCUUGAAAUGCCGCUCCUUUCAUUUUGCAUAUCAUUGAACUUUUGGUAUUUUGUAAUAAUGUACUAAUGUUUUUUCAUUAGACUCUUAUUUUGGGGUAUGUAAUACUUAAAAGACAAAUGUUGUUUUUAUAUUUUGAAGUAAUAUUUAUGUGACUAUAUGGUAUACAUAUACUAAUUUAGUAUUAUGUUUUCAAUUUUUUGGGGGUCAAAUUAUGUUUUUCAUUUUCAUUAUUUAUUGAUUUAAAAUAUAUUUUUUUAACUGGUGUUGGGGGACUUUUAGGUCGAGGCGGACUUGGGCUUUGAGAACGUCACCCUUGGUGCAAGUUCGUGACAAGUCUGGGAUAUCUCGAAGGAGGUAGCUUGUCCUAGGAAACACCCUGGUAACAUCAACGGCUCAAAGAUAGCACAAAAGAUCAAGAUAAUGACUUGCUCAAGCAAAGCAUGGUGUGGAAGCUAGAAGAUUAUCGGUUUACAUGAGAGAAAGAAGGUUUGCAUGGUUGCAUGGCAUUCUUAGUUGCAUGUUUCGGGCUUUCCUAGGGUGAUAGCAAGGCUUCUAGUGGCUGAGAUGUUUGAUGGAGGGCUGUGGAAAUCACUACAAUUGCAUGAAUGGUGAUACUUGAAGCUUAGAGUAUGCAUCUGGACUAGAUGGAACUCUUUGGGCUUCUUCCUGGGUGGAAACAUCUUACUAUGUUUUGUCUAUCUCUCUCUAUGUAUUUCUCUCUGCGUUCUAACCUCCUCAUUUCUAAUAGCUUCUCCCCCUCUUUAGAUAGGUGAAGAGCUUCUCUUUAGAUUUCAAGAAAUAUCUCUUUGUGGCUUGGUCUUCCCCUCAUUUCUCCCUAGCUAUCCCAGUAUUUCCCUUUUGGUGUAAACUAGAUGCACUGUUUGAGUUAUGCAGAUUGCUGUUUCUUGAGAUGCAGCUUUCCUAGGGCGGCCUUCCGCAAGCGCUAAAUCUAGUAGCGCGCUUCUGGGCUUUUGUGCAUUCGCUGUCUGUGCAGGCUGGGAAUGGAAAGUCAGCAUUAAAUGCCUGACUUGCUAAGCUUGACAUGCAUUUAAUGUAAGAAUCUAGUUUAAUUCUAAUUAAGGGGAUUGGCUUACUAGGGAAAUGGAUAAACUAGGCUAGCUCUCAUUCCCAAUGAUGCCUGCGUGAAAUACAAAGGGUAUAGGCUUGGAUCUUUAGGCUCCUAAGCAGCCCAAAGUCUUCCAUGACCCUAAUUCCACAUAGGCCCGAUAACCUUAUGUAAUCAUCCACACCACAAUCCACUUAGCAAGUCUCGAAUAUGUGACUUGGGCUUAGCGUGAAUAUUGACUAAGGAGGCAUGGCGUGAUGAAUAAUACGUGAGCAUGGUGUGAGUAUUCCGCUUAAUUCUUGUGGCAUGGCAUGCUUGUAAAUAUAUUCCUUGUUGGUCCCGUGCCUUGGCAUGUGCUUGGGCUUGAAUGUAGGCUUUGCAUGAUAAUUGGGCUUUGAGACUUGGUAGGAUCGAUGCGUGACAUUUUUAGGCCCCAACAACGAGUAAAUUGUAACAGGUCAGGUCAUAUUACCUAAUAAUAUUAACGGGUUGAUUUCGAAUCAGGUCAUAUUACCCGUUUACUUUAACGGAUAUUGCCUGACACGACCCGUUAAGAUAUUGGGUAUGUCACGAAAACGACAUGAACACGAAAAACACAACAUGAAUACCAGGUCUAAUGCUCGACACACAUUAGACCUUUGGAUGUUAUGAUAAUUUAGUGUCAGAAAUAAUAAUUUAGAGGUAGAAUAUUGUUGACUAUCACAUGUGCUAGUAUAUGCUUCAAAUAAUUUUAGAGGUACAAUAUUGUUAAAAAUUAUAAUGCUCUUAUUUGAACGGUGAUUUAUACAAGGGGAAACUUGAUAUAAGCAAUUUUUUUUAGCCGAUAGUAGGAAUAGUCCAAUUUAUUUAAAUAAGUCCAAUUCUUUAAAUUUAAUUAUUUAAUUAUCAAUAAUUAUCUAUUAAAUGAUAAGAUUUAUUAUUACUUUAGUCUAAAGAAAGGUUUGGAAUUGACACUGUAGAAAUGAAUAGUGUUUCAAUUCGAAUUUCAGAUUAAUUACUACCAUGCCAUUGAUCUUUCUGUUGGUUUUGGGUCAGCAGCCCAGCCUUCAGCCAGGCCCAAAUGUGUUGGUUUUAGCUGGGAAGCAAGGCCCUCAAUGAGGCCUAAAUUAUUUAACUACAUUUUUGCCCAUCUAGUGUAACAUCCCACAUCGCCCAGGGGAGUAAAUCAUGUAAGCCUUAUAUGUAUAUUCUCAUCUCUACCUAGCACGAGGCUUUUUGGGAACUCAAUGGCUUUGGGUUCCGUAGGAACUCCGAAGUUAAGCGAGUAGCUCGUGAGAGCAAUCCCAUGAUGGGUGACCCACUGGGAAGUUCUCGUGUGAGUUCCCAGAAAUAAAAUCGUGAAGGCAUGGUCGGAGCCCAAAACGGACAAUAUCGUGCUACAGUGGAGUUGAGCCGGGGAUGUGGUGAGGGCCCGGGUCGGGAUGUGACAUCUAGGAUUACAAUCUGAUAGUAGGGAUGGUUUAUUACGAAGGGCAAUUUUGUCCUCUCUGUUUUGGGCGAGAUAGGGGGUCACUGGUUAGGUAUCAUUUGCUGUCGUUCAAUUAGGGUUUCGGGAAGGGUCUGCGAGAGAGAGAUAGAUAGAGAGAGAGAUGGCGAUGGAAGAAGAGAGAGGGGGAGGGGUAGGGGUCUCGACACUGUUGCUGCAGAUGAGAGGGUCGGUAUGGUCAAAGAAAACCAUAUGGGUCGUCAGGAUUUCAGGGAGAUAGGGAAGGGGUCAUCAACAAACCCUACCGAGGGUAAGGUGUGCCGGAUCUUGCGUUGCAUGCCUCAAAUCCAAAGGUUAGUUCCUUUUUAAAAUUGUUUUCUUUAAUGGUGCCUUAGAUUUUCUAAUUGUUUAGUAUGUUAGGUCCAGUUUUAGGGGAUUUGUGAUUUUAUAGAGAGAGAUGGAUAGGGAGAUAGAGAUUGACAGAGGGAAGAAAAAGCAUGGUUGUGUGCAUUUUUUUGGGUUAAUUAAUGGGUUAGCGCACAGGGUCAGUGAGGAGAGUGACAAAGGGGUGUAUAGGAGGGUAUGGGUUUUCACUUUUUUGCUCUGAUUCAACAGGUUAUGCACUGUUUGAAAAUCAUUGUUUAUUGUUUUGUUUUCCGUUUGCUUUGUUAAAACCAUAUUUCAAUUUUUUUGGUUUCAUUGUGCUCAUUUAUGUGCUUCUUAAUAACUUCCUGGUGUUUGCUUCUCAUCCCUUUGUUGGUAGAUUUUUCCCCAUUUCUUGGUUCCUUAUGUAUUCCUUGGUACAAAUCUGUCUAAUUUUUGGCUAUGUGAUGAUCCUUGCAGGUGAGCUACAUUAAUGUUGUUUUGAAACACAGAGCUUCAUCCCCUCGAAUAUGCAAUUCAUAGUAGCAGCCUCACCCUUUCACUAUUAUCUGCUUAAAGCAAAACAUUUUUAUUAUGGCCUUGGUUUCUUGACAUUUUUAGGUAUAUAAUUUGCUAUACUUUUGUUUUGGUUACUUCAGUUAGAUGUAAUGUCACCUAACAUAGUAUAAUAGACAAAAUCACCAUCUCUGUUCUCUUCAAGAUAAUUUAUUUCGUAAUCCAACUUUGUUUGCAAGCUUUGUUUGCAAUAGUAUGUAUAAGCCAGAUCUCUUAUUUCCCUGCAAAUGAAUAGAAUUAAUGCAAUCCUCGGUCAAAUCAUUUAUCACAUUCAGACAAGUUCCCAAUUAUUUUUGCAUAUGAAGAAGACCAUCUUCACCAACACCGGAUUUAUCUGCAAACUUAAUUUUGAUCACCCCGAACUUAUUAAUCAAGAAGCCACUGUUUUAAUAAAAUUUGGCAUAAUCUUUAACAUGAAUAUAGAAGGAAAGAAUGGAUGUAUAUGUGUAGAAAUUAUGUUGGAAGGUUGGUUAAACUUAGGCUUAUUCUCAAGUAUAGUAUAAAUUCUUGGGUUAUUUGGAUUUCAGUAUUUAUCAAACUUUGCCUUGCUUAUGUAUUGAUCUCAUAACUGUCGCUUUCAUACAACAACCCAAAUAUGGAAUCUGCCAUCUGGAUUCUAUAUGGAAGUUGUGAAGCUUUUUUCCCUCAAAAUUUUGGUCUUUUUGUUUUUGUAUGUUGGUUUAAAACAAGGGUUAUUCUACAAAAUGGUCCCUGAGAUUUGCAUGAUCAAUAGAAAUGGUCCUUGAGAUUGAAAAUCAAUAUAAAUAAUCCCUGAGAUUGUCCACCAUCCAUGAUUUUGGUCAUUCCGUUAAAAACUCUUUGGGCAAUUUUCAAAGCUUCGUAACUUAAUUGAUUCUUAACCAAAUUUGACCCAUAAUAUAUAAAAAUGAAUAUAAGAAAGUGUAGAACAAGAUUAUACCUAUUUGGAAGCCCAAUGAUUUCCAGAGAUGGCUUGAAAAUAGCCUGAAAGGUGACUGGUCCGUGGGAAAACUGGAAAACUCGCCAGAAACUAAGUAAACUUUAAGCGUUCAUAACUUCUUCAAUACUCAACGAAAUCAAGUGAUUCAAAAAUGAAAAUCAUACUUCUCAAAGAUACGAAGAGAAUGGUAUCUUUCUUUACUACUAACUUGCCAUGAUUUAGCCGGAAAACUGCUCGAAAGUGGCUAACUCAAAAAUGGUUAGCCACAUUUGAGCCGUUGUUCAACCAAAACACAGCGAUUUAGCCUUCAAAAAAAGUACCAUUCUCUUCGUCUCAUCAAGAAGUAUUAUUUUCAUUUUUGAAUCACUCGAUUUGGUUGAGUAUUGAAUAAGUUAUGAAUUUUUAAAGUUUACCCAGUUUCCGGCGAGUUUUCCAGUUUUCCCAUGGACCAGUCACCUUUUAGGCUAUUUUUCGGCCAUCUCCGGCAACCAUUGGGCUUCUAAAUAGAUAUAAUCUUAUUCUCCACUUUCCUAUCUUCAUUUUGAUAUAUUAUGGGUCGAAUUUAAGAAACAAUUGAGUUACAAAGCUUUGAAAGUUGCCCAAAAUCGUUUUUAACUAAAGGACAAAAUCAUGGAUGUUGGACAAUCUCAGGGACCAUUUUGUAUAAUAACCCUUAAAACAAAUAAAAAGUUUUUGUAUUGGUAUUUUGCUUUUGUUCCUAAACAAUGGCAAUUUUUUACUUCUGAAAUGAUUGUCACCUUAUUAUUUGUUUAUGUGCCAGUGCCAAGUUCUGAUGGUGCUCAUUGCUCUAGGAAAAUUGGGAGGGGAAAUUUUCAUAUGCUUUGUGGAAUCUUUGAUGCAAUUAGCAUUUUAAAUUUGACCCCUCCCAUUAGUUUUUUUUUUUUCUGAUAAAUUCUGUUGCGAUCUAUGUGUGUUGCUGAUGAAAGAAGAUAAAGGUUUAGCCAUGAUUCUUAAUGGUCCCUGAAACUUGUUGAUGCACAAAAUCAGUGGGGAAUUUGGUAUAACAGAAAAUGUUAAGUUUGUGACCUUCGCUAGAUUGCUCCGGUCACUAGUGUGGAUAAGUAUGUAAAUGGACAGAGACAAGGAAGCAAACACAAGAUGUACGUGGUUCACCCAGAUUGGCUACGUCCACGGAGUAGAGAAGUUCUCAUUAAUUGUGAAGGGUUUACACAAGUACAUAGGUUCAAGCUCUCAUUUAGUGAGUACAAGUGAAUGAUUUAGUACAAAUGACAUUAGGAAAUAUUGUGGGAGAAUGAUCUCCUUUUAUAAAAGAGAGUUUCUAGUUUUGUUUUGACGUUAACACGUGUCGUGUUGUGAUUAGCUUCUGAUGUUGACACGUGUCGUGCUAUGAUUGGCUUCUGAUGUCGACAUGUGGUGCACUGUGAUUGGCCUUUUGGUUGGAGGGAAACUCUUUUGGGUCCUUGACGGUAUAACGUUGAUUAGUGCUUAGUAGUUUUGGGAUUGGUCAAGUAUGGUAUAAACAAAACUCAUGGGUACUUUCACUUACUAUGCAUACGGUGAUAAUUGUGGCUGAGGCUGUUAUGAUUCAUAACUAGGCAAUUUCCUCUCACAUUUCCUUUGGUUGUGUAAUGAUUUUCUUUUGUCCUAACUUCACUUGCCAUCAUAUGUUUAGGCUUGGGUUACCCUUGGUAGAGCAAAGUUAAACUUUGGGGAGGCUGAUAGUGCCAUUCAAAGCUUUGACAGAGCAUUAGCCAUCAAGGUACUGUUUCACCUUUCAAGAAAUUAUAAUUUGUACUUCUCAAACUUCUUACACUUUUUUAUGCCUCUUUGAGCCACUGACCUUAGGUGGAGUCUGAUACUGCAAUAUUAUGUACUAAUCUAAUAAACCCUGCAGCUUAUUCGUCUUCUUCAUGGGUAAAAUAACAUGACAGAAAGAAGCAGUAACCAGUUCACCCAUUCCCUUGAUGAUCGUUAUAAUCUUUGUUUUCUUAGUCUCCUCUAUGCCCUCCUCAUCAAGAAAGUUCUUAAACCUGUUCCCAUAUGUGUAUUGUUAAGUUGCUAAUUUAUAGAUUAACCUACUGUGAUUCUGUGCUUGAAGUCAGGCAUAUGGUUAGACUUCCAAAUUGAUGCCUUAGUAGCUUCAAUGCUUGCCUUAAAAUUACUAUAGGCAUAACUGUUACAGUUUGUUUGUACCAUACUUGACCAAUCCCGAAACUACCGAGCACCGGCCAACGCUAUACUGUCAAGGACCCAGAAGAGUUCCCCUCCGACCAGGAGGCCAAUCACUACUCGACACGUGUCAAGAUUAGAAGCCAAUCAGAGCGCAGCACGUGUCGACAUCAAGAACCAAUCAUAACAUGACACAUGUCAAUGUGACAAAGCUACAAGUUUUUCUAUAAAUAGGGGUCAUUCCCCCACAAUAUCGCCUAAUGCCAUUUUGUGUUAAAUCAUUCACAAGAACUCACUAAAUUGAGAGCUUGAUCCUUUGUACUUGUGUAAGCCCUUCACUACUAAUAAGAACUCCUCUACUCCGUGGACGUAGCCAAUCUGGGUGAACCACGUACAUCCUGUGUUUGCUUCUCUGUCUCUAUUCAUUUACGUACUUAUCCUCACUAGUGACGGAAGCAACCAAGCGAAGGUCACAAAACCUGACACUUUCUGUUGUACCAAAGUCUUCGCUGAUUUUGUGCAUCAACAUUUGGCGCCGUCUGUGGGAAACGACACUUAUUCCUACUCUCUUCAGCUGUGUCAAGCUGGUUUCUAUCAUUCGUACACUUUCUUUUGAUCUGGCAUCCCUCUCCAGCAUGGGAAGCGAAGGAAGCCACAGCACACAGAAUGACACCCCCCUUGCACAUAGUGCGAAACAACGAAAGAAGGAAGGAAAACGAGUUAUUCUUCAAGCUAAAGUCGAUGAGUUGGAAGCUUAGAACAACAAGAUAGCAAUGAGGAAUGAGGUCCUCCAGGAGCAAUAUGAGAAGCUCUUCGAGACACUUCACGAAGCUAGGCAAGCUCAGACACGCGAGCUUGUUGCCCCCGUGGAAGUCAACCAUCAACUGGGUGCCCUCCAACAUGGAGGGUCACAUGCAUUCGACAUAGAUAUCCCUGAUAGGGAACAAAUUACCCCUCGAUUUGAUAAUCAACAUGAGGCUUCUCUUAACCCAGUUGCUUCGACCCGAACCAUGAGAAGCGGAGGGAGACACCUCUUUGCUGAAGGGGCAGAAGGAUCGAAAGCUGUCUUUCGCGAUUGUCGGGAUUUCCUGAAGCAACGUCGAGAGAAUUCCAUCCAUAUAAGCUCAAAGAUCAAUGACCCAAGGAUUUCUGAGAGACUCGGUCCCCUGCCACGGCCCGAGCCGGCCACCAACUUGGGGAAGGGGCAACAAGUCCUAGAGAGACAUGAGGGUACAGGGGACUCAGAGGUGUUCCGACAGACAUACCCUGGAAGCCAGUACAGCGAGUCCAGGGAAAAAAUCACAUGCCCUUGAUCAAACCUUCCUAAUUCCAAGAGGAGAUGGAGAUUUACGAAAGAAAGCUCCAGUGGCACAUAACUCCGCUCAGGACCCCCCUUGUCCUACAACUUCUUGAGGAAGUAAACAAGUUGAAGGCUGAACGUCAGGCUAAAAUACCUGACUGGAACCAACCCAGGCCUGGCCCUCUUACAAGGAGGAUCCUCAACACCCCCCUUCAAGCAAAGACAAAGCAGAAGCUUGGCUUGCAACUUUAUACUGGGAAAGAGGACCCGAUUGAGCACCUUAACCUCUUUGAGUCCACCAUGGCAUACCGGAUGCACACCGACGAAGAGCGAUGUCUUCUCUUCCCCUCCACCCUCUCUGGCGGAGCUCUAAAUUGGUAUUGUCGUCUUACACCUGAGACGGUAGACUCAUUUGAGGAAUUGAGGAAACUAUUUGUUUCCCAACACAUUUUCCAAACCGAUCGCUUGCACUCUGCAGAUGACCUGUACACUAUCCGCCAGAAGCCAGACGAGUCAUUACGUAUGUAUGCUGGCCGCUUCAGCCAUGAAUACUCCCGGUGUGCCGAGGCAGACGACAAGACUGCCCUCAAAGCCUUCACGGCAGGCCUACGUGAUUGUUUCUUUAAAUACAUGAUCAAUGUCAAUACUUGGAAGACUUACUCUGAGGUGAUGGCGCAGGCUUAUAACCAUGCCUCCGCCGAGGCAAAGACAUAUCAGGAGAAACCCCCUACAACCAUCCUUUAUCAACAAGUGGGAGGUGGAAGCCAGACUCACCUAAAUGAGAAGACCUCGACUUUCCAAACAGCAGUGGCACCUCCCCAUGCCGUGCAUAAUGCUUCACCGAAUCAACAGACAUAUCAAUUUCAAGGCAAGAGGAAGGAUUUCCAUCCUCACCACUCUCCUUCCAGUAAAAAGAGUAAGGGACACUAUCCCGAUAACCAAGGGUAUCGCCACAAUAACGCUCGCCCCCAGGCAGUCAAUGCAGUGGGUCAAACCCGCGUCAAGAUACCCCCUACCCCAAGGUAUGAGACAUACACGCCCUUGAAUGCCACAUGCGCGGCCAUUUACCCCAGCAUAGCUCACCUGAUACCAAAGCCAAAGCCGAGGCACCCAGAUUACACGCCCCCGAAUAACGCGGGCAUGUUUUGUUGCUACCAUGAGCAUAACGGCCAUGAUAGCGAGAAAUGUAUCAUCCUCCGUGAUCGUAUUGAAGCUUUGGCACGAGAAGGAAAAAUUGAUCAAUUCCUCCUUCACCCUCAAAGGGAUAACCGUAACCAACGCCAGGUGAAUGUCAUAUAUAUUCCAUAAGCGGCGGCACACCCCAUAUCUGAAUCUUCCAAUAGGGCCAUGAAAAACAGUGAACGAAUUCUGAGGCCUGGUCACCAAGUGUUUCACGUGGAAGACAUCAGGGGAGGGAAGUAUCAAAAGCCUAACUGGGAUCCGAUAUGUUUCUACCCUGAGGAAGAAAGAGGCAUCAUCUACCCUCAUAACGACCCAUUGAUCGUGGAGGCUCACAUAGCCAACUUUGAUGUUCGACGAAUCCUCGUAGACACAGGGGCUUCGGUCAAUAUCAUGUUUGCCGAAGCUUUCAGGGCACUCAGUGUAGCUGAACACUUGCUCGAUCGCUCGAUUUCUCCUCUGAUAAGCUUCUCCGGUGAUAUCGUGCAACCCUUAGGGAGCAUACAUUUACCCUUUACUAUUGGUACAGGCCCUUACACGGCUACCAUUACCACUAACUUCCUAGUGGUUGACUGCCCAACGGCAUACAAUGUCAUCUUUGGGCGCACAGGCAUCAAUGAUCUCAAGGCUAUAUGGUAUCCACGCAUAUGCUGUUGAUGAAAUUUCCAACCCCCAUGGCAACGACUACAUCAGAGGAGAUCAGCUUACUGCACGAUCAUGUUACAACACUUCAGUUAAGCAACAACACUUGCCCGGACCCAAGGAAACCCUGUCUGUACAUGACCAAGUCACAAAGACCAGCCUAGAUGAAGCGAACUUGGAUCUUCCUGAUAGCAACAAUCAACCCGAUGAUCCUCGAGAUGACUCUUUCACCCAGCAAGCCCAACCUGCUGAAGAGUUGGAGAAGGUACCUAUCUCAAGAGAUUAUCCAGAUCGCAUGGUGAAGAUUGGCACCACAUUGUCACCACCCCUUCGGUUAGCAUUGAUAUCUUUUUUGAAAGAGAACACUGAAGUCUUCGCCUGGUCAUACGAGGACAUGCCAGGCAUCUCUCCCGAUGUCAUCUGUCAUCGUUUGAGUAUUGACCCCAAGAUCAAGCCGGUGAGACAGAAGCGAAGAUCUUAUGACGCUGAACGAUACGAGGCAAUGAAAGCAGAAGUUGAAAAACUCAAAGGCAUAGGCUUUGUCCGCGAAGUCAAUUACCCGACAUGGGUAGCAAAUGUGGUCCUUGUUAGGAAAAAUCCGACCAAAGAAAGUCUUUCGCUUCAAAAGGUCUUGUGGAGGAUGUGUGUUGACUACACCGACCUAAAACAAAGGGUGUCCGAAAGAUAGUUUCCCUCUUCCUCUUAUUGACAGGCUUAUAGACUCUACGGCAGGGUGUGAGCUCUUGAGCUUUAUGGACGCUUAUUCAGGAUACAACCAAAUCCUCAUGAACCCCUCAGACCAAGAACACACGGCCUUCACUACUGACAGGGGACUAUAUUGCUAUAAAGUCAUGCCUUUCGGCCUAAAGAAUGCAGGAGCAACUUAUCAGAGACUGGUCAAUUCAAUGUUCGCCGAACAAAUUGGGAAGAACAUGGAAGUUUACGUUGAUGAUAUGCUAGUCAAAAGCAAACAUGCUGACCAACACAUCACCAACCUAUCUGAAACUUUCACCAUUCUAAAGAGGUAUCGAAUGAGGUUGAACCCCAACAAAUGUGCCUUCGGCGUGGGCUCUGGCAAAUUCUUAGGCUUCAUGAUUAGCCAACGAGGCAUUGAAGCUAACCCUGAAAAGAUCAAAGCAAUCCUCGACAUGAAAGAGCCAAUAACUUCAAAAGACAUCCAAAGCCUUACUGGCAAGGUGGACGCCUUAACCAGAUUCAUCUCUAAGGCCACAGACAGAUGUGCUCCUUUCUUCAAAGCACUCAAGGGAAAUAAGAAGUACAUUACAUGGACGGAGGAAUGUGCCAAGGCAUUCAGGAACCUCAAAGAGUACAUGAGUAAAGCCCAUCUGCUCUCCAAACCAGAAGUUGGUGACACUCUCAUCAUCUAUCUAUCGGUUUCGGCUUCAGCAGUCAGUUCUGUUCUUAUUCGAAUGGACAGUGGUGUCGAACGGCCCGUCUACUACGCUAGCAAGGCCCUACAAGAUGCGGAGACACGAUACUCCAACAUUGAGAAAUUAGCUCUAGCAUUGGUCAUGUCUGCUCGGAAACUUCGCCCUUAUUUCCAAGCACACGCCAUCAUCGUGCUUACCAAUCACCCUCUUCGACAGAUACUCCAGAGUCCUACACGUCUGGACGAAUGAUCAAAUGGGCGAUAGCAUUGGGUGAGUUUGACAUCUCCUACCAACCAAAACCAGCCGAAAAAGGCCAAGCAGUAGCAGAUUUCAUCGCCGACUUCACAUAUCCUGUUGACAUUGCUUCUACACCUAAAGCAGUAGCUUCAUUACCAUCGAAAGCUCAGAAGAUAGAACCAACAACCCCAGCAUGGAGUCUGUAUGUUGAUGGCUCAUCCAACCAACAAGGCUGUGGAGCGGGACUAGUCUUGACUACGCCCGACAAAGUAGCAAUGGAGUAUGCUCUUCGUUUCAAAUUCAAGGCAUCAAACAAUGAGGCCGAGUAUGAAGCCCUUCUAGCAGGAUUACGUUUGGCCAAACACCUCGGGGUUAAACAAAUUGAUAUUUUCAGUGACUCCCAAUUAGUGGUCAACCAGGUUACCAACAACUUUGAUGCUAAGGACAGCUCCAUGGCAGCAUAUCUUGCGCAAACACAACUUUUGCUCAAACACUUCCACUACCAGAUCACCCAAGUUCCUCGAGCGGCAAACAGUCAUGCAGACGCCCUGGCUCGCCUCGCCUCAGCUGUGGAAGACAAGAUUGGAAGAAAAAUUNCUGGAAGUACUUUUUCUCCAUCCAGGGGUGGUAUCUUUAACCGAUGAAGAUGCACAAGGUAAUGUAUCAAUUUCACUUGAAGCUUAGUUGUAGUUUUGGGCUUGGUCAAGUGCGAUACAAACCCUAUAGUAGGAGUCCCCUAAGUCGCCGAGCUAGGAGAUUUUCGGAAUGAGGUAACAGACAAGGUAAGCAAUCAGACUUCCAAGCAAGCAACCUAGAUCGGAGGUUCGACUUCAGCUUCCGGUUGAUUGUUCUCCUUCUUCUUGUGUUGUAAACAGCAACAAAGAUAAGGAGAAGCAAAUGGAGAAUAAAUGAUAUGAGAUACUUUUGCUUUUGAAGAAGUAACUUUCCACCAGUUUAUUCUUGAACUGGGCUGGAGGGUUUUCUGGUUUCCUCUAGAGUAUAAGGCUGACUCAAGAAUUUAAGGGUCAAAACAAGUCCAUCAAAUCUGGAGUACGUUCGACCCUGAUGAUAUGGGAUACUUUUGUUGUUGACAAAGUAGUGGAUGUAUCGACACGUGUUCUGUUACGCUUGUCUCCACAUGCUUCCUUGUAUCCUUCUCACUUGCCCUAUCUGUUCCUCAGGCAGAUAUGGUAUCUUCUUUGGAAGCAUAAGAUGUUGAAGAUGAGUACUCAAGAGCAAUGCCAGGUAAGUAAUCAGGCAAGGGGUUACAGGCAAUCAGUUUCUAACUGGAAGCUUGAUUCCAAGUGCUGACUGAUUGCUCUCUUUCUCCUUGUCUUACAGGUAAGAACAAGGCCAAAGGAAAAGACAGGGAAAAAGCAUGAUAUGGGAUACUCUUGCUUUUAACCGUGAUGAUAUGAGAUACUCUUGCUCUGGUGUGGCUUGUUUGCAGAGGUAUUAUGGGGAGGAAAAGAAGCUGAGUAUUUCGAGAAACUCUGCUGAGAGUGCCCUCUCGGAUGUGAGGAAAAGUUGAGCAUUUUUUUUUAUUUGCAGGUCUGCCUGGCUAUGGAGGAUGAAGGUCGACAUAUAUAAGAGUCUCCUUAAUAACAAGUAGUAGUGCUAUUCCUUUACCCUUCUUGGUCAUAGCAAUGUAGUGGGAGCUGCAAGCUUCACGUGUUUUAACUUUGUCAGAGCACUUUGAAAAACUGGUAUGUGGUAUCUGAAAAGCUGAUGUUGCGUGUGAAGAUUGCAGACAAGCUUUAUCCAAGGAAAUCUGGCUCUCGAAGUUCGAAAAGCAGUGCCUCUUCGAUUUUUGAACAAGCAAUCCUGUCAGGGAUCUUACUCUCGAGAUUCAGAUAACGGUGCCUCUUCAAUUUUUGAGAAAGCAAUCUUGUUGGGAGUCUGACUCUUGAGAUUCGGAGAACAGUCGAUUUUUUAGAAAGUAAUCUUAUUGGGAGUCUGGCUCUUGAGAUUCGGAGGGUGGUGCCUCUUCGAUGUUUGAGCACGUAAUCCUAUUGGGAGUCUGGCUCUCGAGAUUUGGAGAAUGGUGCAUCUUCGAUUUUUGAGAAAGCAAUCUUGUUGGAAGUCUGACUCUCGAGAUUCGGAGGGCGGUGCCUCUUCAAUUUUUGAGCAAGCAAUCUUAUUGGGAGUGUUUUCUCGAAUGUGAGUAAAGGUUUGACAUUUUUGCCAGUCUGCCUUGCCACGGAGCAUGAAGGUUGACACACAUUGAGACUUUCUAGUUAUCAAGCAGUGGUGUUGUUCCUUUACCUUUGUGGGUAAUAGUAGGGUAGCUGGACCUUCAAAAUUUAUAUGUCUAAACUUUGUCAGAGAUUUUUGGCAAAGUUAUCUGUGGUACCCGAGGAGAUGAUGUUGCAUGUGGAAAGUGGUCUCUAUUCGGAAUCCGGAGAGUGGUGCCUCUUCGAUUUUUGAACCAACGGCCCUGUUGCCUUUUCUUUUAUAAGGGCACCAAUUUGUGCUAGAAGUACAUUUAGAGAGUUAUUGCUUGUAGGAAUUUUCCCCUUACUUCAGAGAUUUAUUGCACCUCAUUUCUCAUUCAUCAUUUCUGAGAAUGUCUGGCUCAUCCGACCAUUGUUUUGACUUGAACUUUGGUGAAGAGGCAGCCAUGCCUUCUUAAGACAACAUAUGACGCCCAUCUUUCUUAUCCCCUACUGGUCCUCUUACCGUUGGGGACUCUAUGAUGAAGAAUGAUAUGACCGCUGCGGUGGUGGCCAGGAACCUUCUCACUCCCAAAGAUAACAGACUACUUUCCAAACGGUCUGAUGAGUUAGCUAUUAAGGAUUAUCUGGCUCAAAGUGUUCAGUGUGCAGGUUCUGUGUCUAAUAUGGCCCAACGCCUAUUUGCUCGAACCCGCCAAGUUGAAUCAUUGGCAGCUGAAGUGAUAAGUUUCAAACAGGAGAUCAAAGGGCUCAAGCAUGAGAAUAAACAGUUACACAUGCUCGCACAUGACUAUGCUACAAACAUGAAGAGGAAGCUCGACCAGCUGCAGGAAUCUAAUGGUCAAAUUUUACUUAAUCAUCAGAGAUUUGUGGGUUUGUUCCAAAGGCAUUUAUUGCCUUCGUCUUCUGGGGCUGUACCGCGUAAUGAAGCUCCAAACGAUCAACAUUUGGUGCCUCAUCUUUCUGGGGUUCUGCCUAGUACUAAGGCUCCGAAUAACCACCCUCUGGUGCCUCCUAAUUCUGGGGCUCUCCCGACUACUGAGACUUCUCCUGAGCAACCUUUGUGAAGGCUCCCUCUUGUUUGUUUAUUUUGAUUCAUGUAUAUGUACAUAUUUGUAACUUAUCGGAGAUAUCAAUAAACAAGCUUUGCUUCAUUUCAACGUAUUAUGUUAAAUACACCAAGGCCUUCUUCAUUAAGUUCUUUGAAUUUUUCCUUUUGUUGAAUCUUGUAUGUUGAAGCUUUAUGAGUGAAGCCUGUAUGUUGAGGUAGUGCUCCCUUAAUUUCCCGAGUGAGGAAAACUGCUUGGUUGGAGACUUGAAAAAAUCCAAGUCACUGAGUGGUCAUGAGACUUCUGAGUAUCAAGGUACAGUAGCAUAUGGUAGGAGUCCCCCAAGUCUCCGGUCAAGAGAGUUGACGAAUAAGGUGUCUUGCUAGUAGCCAAGUUUCCAAAGUAACAAAAUUUCACCAUUUUCCUUUCUAAGUGGCAACCCAAAACUCCGAAUAUAUAUUUAUUUUUUUUUUUCAAAUAAGAGGAGCCUAGGCAAUUUAUUUAUUUAUUUAUUUUUUCAAAUUUUCAAAUUUUUGAAUUUUUGAAUUUCCGAAUAUAUAUAUAUAUAUAUAUAUAUAUAUAUAUAUAUAAAGCUUUGUAGGUGAAGUUUUGAGGUUGAAACUUUGUUGGGUACCAUGAAUUGAUUUUGCUUCACACUAUCUUGUCAAGAUAAUGUGAAGCUUUUGAGAAUUUGUAGUUGUCCUCCAUUGAUGAAGCAAUUUGUAGUUGUCCUCCAUUGAUGAAGCUUUUGUUGGUGAAGCUUUUGUGGUGGGGGAAGCUUUUGUGGGAGAAGCUUUUGUGGUGUGAGACUUUUGUGAGUGAAGCUUUUGUUGGUGAAGCUUUUAUGGGUGAAUCUUUUGUAGGUGAAGCUUUUGUGGUGGGUGAAGCUUUUGUGGGUGAAGCUUUUGUGGUGGGUGAAGCUUUUGUGGGUGAAGCUUUUGUUGGUGAAGCUUUUAUGGGUGAAGCUUUUGUAGGUGAAGCUAUUGUGGGUGAAGCUUUUGUAGGUGAAGUUUUUGUGGUGGGCGAAGCUUUUGUGGUGGGUGAAGCUUUUAUGGGUGAAGCUUUUGUAGGUGAAUGAUGAUGCACAAAAUCAGUGAGGACUUUGGUACAACAGAAAGUGUUAAGUUUGUGACAUUCGCUAGAUUGCUCCGGUUACUAGUGUGGAUAAGUAUGUAAAUGGAUAUGGACAGGGAAGCAAACACAAGAUAUACGUGGUUCACCCAGAUUGGCUACGUCCACGGAGUAGAGGAGUUCUCAUUAAUUGUGAAGGGUUUACACAAGUACAUAGGUUCAGGCUCUCAUUUUGUGAGUACUAGUGAAUGGUUUAGUACAAAUGACAUUAGGAAAUAUUGUGAGAGAAUGAUCUCUAUUUAUAGAAGAGAGUUUCUAGUUUCAUUCUGACAUUGACAAGUGUCGUGUUGUGAUUAGCUUCAGAUGUUGACACGUGUCGCGCUAUGAUUGGCUUCUGAUGUCGACACGCGUCGAGCUGUGAUUGGCCUCCUGGUUGGAGGGAAACUCUUCUGAGUCCUUGACUGUAUAACGUUGACCGGUGCUCAGUAGUUUCGGGGAUUGGUCAAGUAUGGUACAAACAUACUUUAAUCUUCUCCCGGGUCCCCAAUUACAACAAAAAUCAGAAUUGUAUAAAUAUUAAGAACACAAUGAAACUGAAAAAAUUAUAUGGUUCUGGAAGGUAUACAAAAAGUUUCCCCUUCUUUCGUCUUAAAUUUGUUUUGCAGCUUUAUUUCGGCUCAAGUUUCAUUUUCUUUCGUCUAGGAAAUUUUUAUAGCCUGAAAUUUCAAUGGAACUGAAAUAGGGAGAGGAGGACAACCCAAAUUUCUGAAUGAUCCCACUGCUUCUGGUGUACGAAGAUAUGAAGAUUUGCCAAUUGAUGAACACAGAGGAGAAACAGAUUUACCUUCUUUCGAUUUAACCACCUUGGUAGCAGCCACAGAAAACUUCUCUUAUGCUAACAUGCUUGGCCAUGGCGGCUUCGGCAUGGUAUAUAAGGUACUUCCCCUAGAACAUUUUGAGAUCUGUGCAUUAUGUGGCUUCGGCAUCUCUGUUGUCAUUAAGAUUUUCGAGUCUGCACCAUGAUUUCAGGGAUGUCUAGCUGAUGGACAAGAAAUAGCUGUUAAAAGAUUAUCGAGAAAUUCAGGACAAGGCAUAGACGAAUUCAAGAACGAAGUAAUGCUUAUUGCAAAGCUUCAGCAUAGAAAUCUUGUGAGGCUUUUGGGUUGCUGCAUACAUAAAGAAGAGAUGAUGCUAAUCUAUGAAUACAUGCCAAAUCGUAGCUUCGACUUAUGCAUUUUUGGUAUGCCAUCUUUACACACUGCUAUUAAAUACUUUAAGUUUUCUGACAUAAACCCUGAAAUUAAGAAAUCAUAAACUUGUAGAUAAUAGAAGCUUUUAUGUGUGGUGUUCAGAUAAAAACGGAAAUUCGUCGUUAGAUUGGAGAAAAAGGUUUCAAAUUAUCAUUGGGAUUGCUCGAGGCGUCCUAUAUCUUCAUCAAGAUUCGAGACUAAAAAUAAUCCACAGGGAUUUGAAAGCGGGCAAUGUUUUACUCGAUGGUUCAAUGAACCCAAAAAUAUCAAAUUUUGGCAUAGCAAGAAUGUUCGGGGAUGACCAAAUUGAAGCAAACACGAACAAAGUUGUUGGCACCUAGUAAUUGUCUCAUCUCCCUUGAAAAAAAAAAUUCAAGUAGAACCAAUAUUUUUUUUUACUCAUAUUGUGUAAUUGCAGCGGUUACAUGUCACCGGAGUAUGCUAUGGAUGGGCUAUAUUCCACAAAAUCCGAUGUGUUUAGCUUCAGAGUCUUGACACUAGAGAUCAUUAGUGGAAGGAAGAAUACCUUCCAAUUUGAAAACUCAUCUCUAAAUCUAGUUGGACUAGUAAGUAAACAGAUAAUUUUUCAACCGAUGAAUCUAACUUUCGAGUAGUCCAAUGAUCUAAACUUUGUGCUCAAAAUUGUUUCAGAUAUGGGGCUUGUGGACAAAAGGAAAAGUCUUGGACAUAAUUGAUUCAUCAUUGAACCAGUCGUAUUCGACUCCUGAAGUUAUGAGAUGCAUUCAGAUUGGGCUCUUGUGCGUUCAAGAAUACCCAACAGACCGGCCAACCAUGCUAGAUGUUGUGUUCAUGUUGGGGAAUGAAACUACUCUUCCACGUCCGAAAAAGGCAGCAUUUAGCUUGAAAAACAGUGGUCCGGAUUGUUCAACGUCUAAAGAAGCUCCUUCUGUAAAUGAUGUAACAGUAGCAGUUAUUGAAGCUCGUUGAGUUUGCACUUUGCCAGUUCUUGUAGAGAUUUUGUGUUACUUCUCAAGUAUUUGUACUCAAAUCGAGAUUCCUUGUGUAGAGAAGGCAAUGCCUUUGAAAUUGUCGAUUCAUCUCUGGACGGAUCGUACCCUAUCAACGAAGUUGUGAGAUGUAUCUAAAUUGCCCUCUUAUGUGUGCAAGAGUAUUUUGGAUAUUAUACUUUAAUCCAACGGCUAAUAGGUCACUAUAGUUAUGGAAUGUAAGUAGGAUUAGAGUUUAACUUGGACUCCAAGUAAAGAUAAUAUUCCGGUUAUUCUUGAAGAAUAAGAGUUCUUGAUACUAUCCUAUUUGGAUUGAGGUUUGGUAGAUUAUUUGUUUGUACAAUAAGGCAUCCUAAUGACAUCAGAACAGAAUCCUAAUGACAUCAUUAUGGGAUUAUGCAUUCAGUUUUUUUUUUUUUUUUUUUGAAUAAACAAUAUUAUUUACACUAAGAGGUUGGGAGUAGGGUAAGCCUCAAAAUGGGGUUCAAAUUCACCUUUGACAAUAAUCAAACCUUAAACCUCUCAAUUACCAGUGAAGAUCGGAAUAUUACUAAACCGUAGUAAGUGACGAGAGAAUGCAUUAGGGUUAAGUUAGUAUAAAUGCUAAACAUAGGUCCCUGCACAUACCUCUGAAACACAACUCAAAAGAAUUCCCCAUAGGUUUGAGGUAUACUGACACGCCCCAACCCAAAUAUCCUAAUGAUACCUGCAUGGCACGUGCUGACCGACACUCGGAAGUGACGAAAGCCAUAAUUCCAUACAAGCACAAGAAAAUAUCAGCACCUGAAGAUCAAAAAUAAUAAACAAUAACAAGAUCCUGAAUUAAACAUAAGGGUAUCGGAAAGUUCAAUGAUCAUAGAUUCGAAACAAAAGAAAUACAAAUAUGUCCAGAGCAUACUACUACACGGAACUACAAGUGCAAAUAAGAAUUCAGAUUACAAUUCAGCAAGAAAAUCAUACCCAAAUGGAAGAGCUCAAAGUCACUGGUAGGGAAAUACCUCGACACUCGGGUCGUACUCCUCGUCACAAGGUCCUAAGUGGGCACAAAACAGAAAAGGUGAGUGGACCAUAGUUAUAUUUAUACUAAUACUAUUCAAACCCAAAUUCUUUCUUAACAUAAUAACCCCCUGCUUUGAAAACAGAUAUAAUACUACGUAUAGGUUUUUCUAAAACUCUAGCAUGCUAGAAAAGUUUGUAACCAUAAAAUCAUCUCUAAAACAUGCAUCUCGAAAUGCCCGAAGGCAAAACCAUAAAUCCCAUCAAAGUUGUAUUCUCUAGGGGUAUCAUAGUCGCCCGAAGGCAGUACCUGUCCAUCGUCCGAAAGCGAAGCUGUACGACACUGGGUUACGUCAGUCAAGAAACAUGGUAGGCCCCAUCACCCGAAGGUGAAGCUAUACUACUCCGGGUUACGCUGGAGAAUAAACUCUAUAACAUCUCACAUUGACACUAGUUGUGACUAGUGAAGCUGUCCGACACUGCUUUUGGCAAUGAAACUAGGGGUAUAACAUAUAUCCCACUCCUCCUCAUCACAGUGUCCUAUGACCAUAGACAUCUAAUACCCGUGUUGUGUGGAUGUGUUGUAUGAUAACUCACUAGAUAUAUAUACCCAAAAUAUAACUCAAAUCUCAAAGCUCAAGUCAACAACUCAAAUCAUUCUCAUAAACCACAAAUCCAUAAUAUAUCAUAAAUCCGCAAUAUCUCAUAAGGCAUAAAAGAAAUAGUCGUAAACCUUUUCUAAGUGUGAAAUCAAUAGUUAUAACAUUUCAUAAAAUGUAAUUUAAAUAAAUCAUAAUAUAGAAAUUCGUAAAGCAAAGUAUAAUAUAAAACGUAUUCAAAUCAGGUAAUAUGAAUUUGCAUGCUAGAUGGUUAAUUAUAAAAUAUACAUUUGAUAAGGGGUCCACUCACAAGUACUCCGCUCUCGGGGAGCUGCUCGAAUUAGGGAGAACUGGAUCAUCUUCCAUCGGUGCACCUAUACACAAAAUAGAGACUAUUUAAUAAAACGCUAAAGCGAUUGAAUUUGUGAAAACGGAGUGUAGAUUUGGAAUCAGAAUGUCGAAAUUAGUCUAGAAGGGUCCCGAUCGAAAAACUCGAAAAAGUCGACGGUCAACGUUGACCAUAAAGUCAACGGUCAAUGGGUCACAGUCAACGGGUCAAAUGGGUUGGACAUGUUUGGUUGGGUUGGGCCGAGGGUCUUUGGGCCGGGUUAAGUAAAAGGACUUGGGCCUAUUUUAAUUUUAAGUUUUGGGCUUAUGCUAUGAAAUAAAAGGGCGGGCUUAGCCCGUUGUGGGCUAAAUCAUUUGGGCUCUGGGCUGAGUUGGCAUGCGGGUUGGGACGACACGAGUUACUCGUGGGUCACCGGACCCAUCGAAAGAGAACACCGGCUUUUUGGCCGGAAAUUCUCCCAACUUCGAUCUGGGGUUAAACUUGCUGAAAAAUCACAAUUCAAACAUUAAACAAUGAUGCUGGAACCUGUCGGGUCAGAAUUGGCUUGACCGUGUCAGAAUUGGCCGGGAUUCGUCACGAAACCCGUCGGGUUUCCUCGCCGGAUUCUGGAAAAAGGAAACAGAGUGCAUGCAUAAUAAAUCUCAAUGAUCUUCCACCAAAAUUCACAUGCAACAAGGUAUCUAGUGACCUAGGGUCGUGUCCAAUUGAUUUCGAUUGUCAACACCCUCAAAAUCGCCGGAAAAAACCACGGGUUCACCGUCGACAUCUGAGACCAAAAGAGUAGGUGCAUGCAGAGAGUUAAACCCCAGAUUUUUCCACAUAAUACUCGUCUAGAUGGAUUAGAAACCAACACAACCAAGAAGGAAAAAUAGUUCAUACCUGCGAUGACAAUUCAAGAGAGUUCAAGCUCUCAGUGUCAAUGGCAGAGUACGUAAAAGUGCACAGAUGCCACAUGCAACCUUACAGGUGAGUUCCCUAGGUCCUAAAGAUUCGAAGUUCAAGUUUCUAGAAGUUGGUUUGGUCCUUCUCGGAUAUAGAGAGUGAAUGCAGAAAAGAAUUAGGAAGAAGAGAGAGUGUUCAGAUAGUGGGGGAUCACGGGAGAGGGAAGGAAUAAUGGGUUGGGUUUUGGGCUUGUCACAGCCCAAAGAACUGGACCAAUUUGAUAAAACCCAACACAUGGGCAAAUUCGUAAUUUUACACUUAAAUUUUUACGGUGGGUUGUUACUAGGGAUGGGCAAAAUACCUAUGGGUUUGGGUAACCACGGUUAUCCGUCCAUUUAAAGCUCACGGUUAUGGUUAUGGGUAACUGUUUGGAUGAAUAAACGGUUAUGGGCAUAACUGUUUAUCCGUGAAAUUUAAAUGGGCGAUUAUGGGUAUUACCCACGGUUAUAACGGGUAUCCAUCAGUUAUGGUUAUUACCCGCGGUUAUAACGGAUAUCCAUUUACCCAUUUAAUUUAAUAUAUGUAAAAUUAAAAAAAAAAGUAAAAACCCUAAAUUUUCAAUCUUUUCAUGAAACUCAGAGUCUUAAACGCCCCGUCCCCGCUCAUCUCUCCCUCCUUGCUGCCCUCUCUCUCAUCUCCGAACCGAUCCCAAAAGUUUCGGCUUGCGAUUCGGCCACAUCUUUAAAAGUGUUCGGUAAUCCCGAACCAACCGAAUAUUUUAUAUAUAUAUAUAUAUAUAUAUAUAACAUAGGCAUAUAUAAAAUUAGAAGGCAUACAUGAUACUGAAGCAGAAAACUAUAUAUUAUAUAUAUGUAACAUAGGCAUAUAUAAAAUUAGAAGACAUACAUGAUACUGAAGCAGUAAACAAAAUGUUAAAAGGGAUUUCGGGUUUAAUACAGCUCUUCCAAGCAACUCUGCCCUCUCUCUCGCUUAUGUCGCCCUCUUCUGAUUCCUCACAUUGUACGAUUCAUACCUAUCAAAACUAUCUUUCAAAGACUGAGACUAUAACGGUGUUUAAUUGUCAGAAAAUAAAAAUUAUGACAAAUUUUUCUUUUAUAAUUUUCAAGUUGUUAAAAAAAAAACAUGUAGAGGGUGAAAAAAGGGUAAAUGGGUGAAAAAGGAUAAACGGGUUCAAAAAUAGGUAAACAGGUAAACGGUUAUGGUUAAAUAGGUAAACGGUUAUGGGUAUGGUUAAUUGUUUAUAAACGGUUAUGAGUAUGAGUAUAAUCGUUUAUGUAAUUACCCAACAGGUAAACGAUUAUGGGGGUAUGAAUAUAAACGGUUAUGGGUAAAUAACCGCGGUUACCCGCCCGCCAUAACCGUUGCCCAUCCUUAGUUGUUACCUAUACAAUGGUGGUGAGUGUGCAAAAGGCCUUGCUUGUGUUCUUAGUGUGUUCGUGUGCUUGCUGCAGUUCGUGGCUUGCUCUGCUGUCGAAAAUGGUUUCUCCAGGCUAGUAUUUUCAUGCUGUUUUUAUUCACAUGCACAUAUUAGGAUUUACAGAGUAUGCAACUGAGCGAGCGGCCAACAAUGUCGGCUGUCAUUUUCAUGCUAUGUAAUGAAGCAGUAGCUUCUUCAAUAAAACAACCAGCAUUUUUAUUAGAGUUGUAACAGUGGGGACCCAUCACCACAGUAUUGAAGGAGAUAAUUCUGUAAAUGAUGUGACUUGUAGUAGCGUAGAACCUCGCUAAACUUAAAACUCCUGAGAUAUUCCUAAACGUUGUAUGUUAAACUACUAUUGGUAGCAGCUUGUAAAAGGUUAUUAACCACAAAAAUUUUGCUUCUAAUAAGUAGUUCCAAUUUUCUUUCUAGUGCAUUGACAUGCGGGACGUCAGAAUUAUUGGUCUCGAUUGUGACGUAAUUGAAGAGAAAUUGUACUAGUCUACUUGGCUAGUUCUUUAAAUUAUGUGACAUGUACUAUUGUGGAGGCUUAGCUAACAUAAAAUUUGGCACAAAAUUGAGCUUAAUGAUGUUCUAAAAUUCAUACAGCGCCGACCUCAUUUAAUGAGAUAAGACUUUAUUGUUGUUGUUUGUACUAUGGAUGAUGCUUGAUUUCUAACAGCCUUGGAUUUGAAAUGUAAAUCCGUCCUCUACAUAUGACACAUUCACAUUUAUUAGAGUUUAAGAAUGAGAGAUUUGUGUUAAUCAAACUUCAUGUACAGGAAAGAAGAUGUUGAUCAGUGAUGCUUUAAUGCCAAAUAAAUAAUCCUAGGACUUUUCAAAUUGGUUUACCAUUAUUUAUUUUAUUACGGAUCGCUUUUACCAUAGUAUCCAUUACUAAAUUACUAAUCACAUCUUAGCAUUCAGGCCAGCCCUGAGGGUAGCCGAGGUAGGCCGCCUAGUGCCCCCAAGUUCGGGGGGCCCCCAAAUUUUUUUAUACAUCCUGCAUAUAAAAUAUAAAUAAAGAAAACGUAAGAAACACCACAAUUAUUUUGUUGGUGCAGUGGAAACGGUUCCACUCUGUUUUCAUUGAGGUGGGCAGUUCGAAACACCUUGUAGGUAUUAGUUUUUGCGUUUUUCAAAUCUAUGAAAUUAAAGAUUAAAAUUAAAGAUAAAUUGCUCUUUAAAAAUUGUAAAAUUACAAGAAUCAAAAGGAGUUAAAAUAAUUCAACAAAUAUUAAUUUUGAAUGAAUUUAAAAUUUUCAACUUUAGAAAAAAAAAAAAAAAAAACCUCAUGGUAGUGAGUGGUUUAUGUUUAAAUUCUUAUUUAUUUUCAAAAAUAUUUUAAAUAAAAAUUGUAUAAAUAGAAAAAACUUGAGUUUCUUAAAUAAAAAACAUACAAAGGCCAAUUGUAAGAAGCUAGUGAAAUUAAUGGCCUCAAUUUGUCCAAAUGCAUUUUUUUUUCUUUUGCUUUUGAAAAUAACCUAAAAAAAAUAACAAAAACCAGAAUAAUCAUAACUUUGUAAUCCUUUUUCUUUCAACUUUCCAGUCUUUCUAUUUCUGUUGAAUGUUUAAGCAACUAUCACUUGGUCCUGAAGAUUGUAAUUUGAGGUAACCAUAACUUUGAAUUUAAAUUUUCUUUUUCAAUAAUUUAUUGUUAAACUAGGUUAUUCUAAAAUUUGAUUUGCUAGUGUGUGUUGAUUUUAGAAAGAACACAAGAGAACCACUAGGCGUUGUUGAAUUAUUAUAUUCGUCAAUCAAGUUUUAUUGUUUUUUACUCUCUUGAUCAUCAAGUUUUAUUGCUCUUCACUCUCAAUCUUAGUGCAUUUGCGUCUAAAGACAUGUGACAUGGAAUAUUAAGUAAUGUUAGUAUAUAUUUUUUUUUUCUUUUGAUAUUAAUUUAUAAUGAUAUUGGAUAAGCUCAUAUUUAUAUAUAUUUUACAUCAAAUUCACUUGUCUUUUCUUAGUUAGUUCCUUAUAUUUUUGAGCUAUUUACAUUGUUUUUGUGUUUUGUGGGAUUUGUCAAGCCAAGAAAAGAAAAAUAGCACAAAUAGGAUUUUUAGUAACAAAUUCGUCAAAACUGCCUGUGCAGAUCAGCUGACUUUGGAAGCAAGUUGCGAACAGCUCAGAAUGAAUUAGAGAAUGAGCCUUAUAUGCUUGGAAAUCUACGGAUGUCUAUUUUCUGGAGCAUUUCGCAGAUUGUUAAUAUCAUUUUUGUAGAAGAAGUUAUGGCCAUUUUAACACUAAAAGGUUCACAAGAGACUGAGCAGUUUGUAACUACAAUGAAAGCAAUAAACCCAAUAAGUCUAACAUCCAAAACUGAUGCAGCCAAGAACAAGUCAGCUGAUACCUAUUCAAAUAUCAGGGGAAAUGGAAAUAAAGAUGAGAAUUAAGUGGGAGUAAUGGGCAUAAAGGCUACCCAAAGAGUUACAAUUGUUUUACCAUUUCCUCUCACUUAUGGUCAUCACUAAAUGAUUGUUAGUGGGGUGAGUGAUGGAAAACAAAACUGGGAUAUCAAGCAAGAACAAAAAGGUGCAGGUUGCAGCUGCAAAGUGGGGGGGGGGGAAUAGGAGAAGAAAAAAGAAAAGAAAAGAAAGAGGACAAGGCAGCAGUGUUGGGGAAGGAAAGGAAGGAGGAAAUCUUGACAUUCUCUUCUCUCGGUUUUAUCUUCUCAAACUCAUGUCUUUCUUUUGGUUUUAUUUGAUAAUAAUGUGUAACUAAAUUCUUAGUAGUUAGGGGCUGUUUUGAAGCCCCAAAUAUGAUUACAAGUUUGUUAUGACAUUUUGUUUGAAUUACUUUUAUGAAUGGAUGAAAAUUGAUUCACUACUUGUCUCAUUGAUGAAUUAUUUAUGUGUUUUCUACGGAUGCAUACUUAGUAAGCAUAUCUAGGAUUCUAAAGCUAUGAAUAUGUAUGUGCCUGCCCUUGUCGAAUGAGAACCUACAUAUGUUCUAGAGUAGUACUUGUCAAUUGCGAUUAACAUGUGAACUAAUUUCUAGGAUAAGUAAGACAACGUCAGUACUUACGAUGCCAUUCUAGAUUGCAUGCUAGGGACUAAGUUAAGUUGAAAACGUCAUUCUCUUAACAUACUACAUAAGAAAGAGUAAUUUCGUAGAAUUUAGGUAAGUGUAAGUUGGUCUAAUAAUUAUUUUUCGGUGGCUGGUCAGUAGGGACAGCAACUAGUUUACCCUUAUUUUCAUAUGCUACAAUUGACAAAUCUUAGUGUUAAUGAGGAAAAUCAAUAAGACAUUUGUGUGCUAUUUUAUGGUGUGCUUUUAAUCCUAUCAAUAUUCGAUGAAGAAAUAUACUUUUUAUGUAAUUAGCGAAUUCUUCUUACUACAUACCAAUAUACAAAGAGUCGGAGGUCCGAGAACUUUAGGGCCCCACUUUGAAGACUCGCCUAGGGCCCCCAAAUUCUCAGGGCCGGCCCUGCUAGCAUCUUACCACCUUCUAGCACAUUUAUUAGGUGUUAGAUUUUAUCACAAAAAUUAAAAACAAAACCAUUCAUUGUAUUUUGUAAUUUAUUUUACCAAUUUUUCGACAUGAGAUAUUUUUGCAUUCUUCAACAGCGUGCACAUCUCUCAACCUAGUCGCUACGGGUAGCACUUAAACUCCUCAAUGAGAAAGCUAACCAUGAAUCCUACUAAUUUUUUUUGUCAAUAUUGUGUUGCUCAUCUUCCUUGUGAUUCUUCCCUCUUCCAUUUCGGCUGCUCUAGACGCCAUUACACCAAACCAACCCCUAAGAGAGGGCGACGUUCUUCUCUCCACCACUAAAAUCUUUGCACUAGGGUUUUUUAAAGCCAAGCAAUUCUCAUAACCGUUACGUCGGAGUUUGGUAAAACAAAAUUCCAAUCAAAACUGUUGUCUAGGUUGCAAACAGAGAAAACCCCAUAAUUCCCCUAUUGCUGGAACUGGACGCGCCCUAUAUUAGAAAAGUAUUCUCAUUGAAUGAAUAAUUAGAGUACAUUUGGUAUUUAUACAAAGAGCUAUAUUUGACAGCUCAUCAAAACUAACCUAUAACUAUCUAAUAACAAACUAACUUUCCAAUGACUAAUUACAACAGAAAUCACUAACUAUCCAAUGACUAAUUACAACAAAAUCAAGAUAAACAAUUAUCCUUAAUAUGCCCCCUCAAACUGAACUUGGGCAACCGAAGUGAUAGUUUGUCUUAAGCAACAGAAAACGAGACUUGGACAGAGAUUUAGUACAUAUAUCUGCAAUUUGAUCAUGUGAACAUACAAACUGAACAGUUACAGCUUUAGAGAGAACUUUUUCCCUGAUAAAAUGAUAGUCAAUCUCCACAUGUUUAGUCCUUGCAUGAAAUAAAGGAUUUUUUGCUAAGGAAAUCGCAGAAAUGUUAUCACACCACAAUUUUGGUGGAUAUGGAAGAGAUAGACCAACAUCAACAAGCAAUUUACAAAGCCAUGAAAGCUUAGCAGCAGUGUUAGCAAGAGAUCGAUACUCUGCUUCAGUGGAUGAGCGAGCCACUGUUGGUUGCUUUUUAGCACUCCAACUAAUAAGAGAGUUUCCAAGAAAUAUGCAAUAACCUCCAGUUGAUCUUCGGUCCAAGGCUUACCCUGCCCAAUCAUCAUCUGAAAAGGCAUUUGUAAUGAGUGAAGAUGAUGUUUUUGGAAACCAUAGUCCCAAAUCAAGAGUGCCCUUCAAGUAUCUCAAUAUUCUUUUAACUGCCUGCAAGUGAGACUGUCUGGGUUGAUGCAUAAGCUGACAGACCAAGUUAACAGCAAAGGAUAGAUCAGGUCGAGACCAAGUAAGGUAUUGUAACCUUCCUACAAUUGAUUUGUACUCAUCUGGAUGAGAGAGCAAUGGAGAAGAGUGGUCAAGUUUUGAUGUACUGAGAGGUGUUGCACAUGGUUUUGCACCAGCCAUGUUGGUCUUGGUAAGUAGAUCAAGAAUAUACUUGGGUUGUGAGAUAAAAAUACCAGAUAAUGACCUUUUAACCUCAAUUCCAAGAAAGAAAUGAAGAGGACCCAAGUCCUUGAUUGGAAAUAGAGAACUCAGUUGAGCUAUUGUGUCUUUGCAAGCCUGUGAAGAGGGACCCGUGACCAAGAUGUCAUCAAUAUAGACUAGGAUAAAAACCAGAGAAGGUUCAUUCUUGACAAAAAGAGAAUGAUCAUUAUGUUAUCCAUGAAAUCUCAUUGAUUUAAGUGCACCAUGAAGCCUCUCAUACCAGGCGCGAGGAGCCUGCUUUAGUCCAUAAAGACUCUUGUGAAGUUUGCAAACAUAGUGGGGCUUUGUAGGAUCUUGAAAACCAUAUGGUUGCUGCAUAAACACAUUCUCAGAUAGAUUACCAUGUAAAAAGGCAUUACUAACAUCAAACUGAUUGAGAAACUAAUCAUACUGAGAUGCUAGUGUGAGAAGAAGCCUGAUGGUUACUGGUUUAGCCACAUGGUUGAAUGUUUCUGUAUAAUCUAAACCCUCAUGUUAAUGAAAACCCUUGGCUACUAAACGAGCCUUGUAUCUGUCAAUAGUGCCAUCAGCUUUCCUUUUAAUACGGAACACUCAUUUACAACCAACAUGAUUAUGAGAAGGAUGUGGGGGAACAAGAAACCAAGUGCCUAUGUGAACCAGGACAUUAAAUUCCUCUUGCAUAUCUUGUCUCCAGUGAGGAUGUUUUGAAGCUUGGAGAUAAGUAGCAGGAAGAUUAUCUGCAGAAAUUUGGGAAGGAAGAGGGUGUUUGGUAGCUGAAUAGGCUUUUGGUUUAAAAAUGUUGGAUUUUGAUCUUGUUUGCAUAGGAUGAGUGUUUAAAGGUGGGGUUGGUGAUAUGUGUGAGGAAUGAGGAGAGACAGGGUGAGGAGAAUGAGGGAGAGGAGGUGAAAAAGUUGAAGUAGAAAAAGGUGCAUAUUGAUUUAGGUUGAUUACAAGUUGCAUAGGAUAAGAUGCUGCAGGGAAUUUGGUGAAGGUAAGAGUUGAAGGUAUGGGAGAGGAAAAGAUUGAGGCUGAGGAUGAAGAAGAUGAAACUGGAGAAACUUGAUGAAAUGGGAAAGUCAGCUCAUCAAAGAUGACAUGCCUUGAAAUAUAAAUCUUGUUGGAUUGAAGAUCAAGACAUCUAUAGCCAUUGUGAUUGAGACUAAAGCCAAGAAAGACACAGGGCUUGCUUUUGGGUUCAAGUUUGGAAGCUACAUAAGGUUUUAGCCAAGGAAAACACCUGCACCCAAACACUUUACGUGUUGUAUAAUCUGGAGGCUUGCUGAAAAGUUGUUCCCAAGGACAGGAUCUAGACAUAGUAGGCAACCUGUUUAUGAGAUAAAAUGCUGUGGAGAAUGCUUCAACCUAGUAAACAUGAGGAACAUGAGAAGCAGCUAAAAGUGUGCGAGCAACUUAUACUAAAUGUCUAUGCUUGCGCUCCACACAGUCAUUUUGUUUUGGUGUGUGAGGGCAUGAGAGUUGAUGAUGAAUGCCAUUGUCUUUAAGAUAUUGAAUAAACACGGAACUAAGAAAUUCACCAUCAGAGUUAGAUCGUAAAGUGACAACUUUAGUAUUUAACAAAGAUUCGACAAGAACUUUGAAUUCAACAAAGGUUUUAAAGACCUCAGAUUUACAUUUGAUCGGAAAGAACCAGUUAUAUCGACUGAAAUCAUCCACUAUAAAAAGAUAAAACCGAUAACCAGAUACAGAGAGAAAUGGAGCUGGACCCCAAACAUCUGCAUGUAAAAGUUCCAAAGGUCUAGUGGUAACACUAGAAGCUGAUACAAAUGGCAGUUUUGAACUUUUACCCAAUGCACAAUUUGAACAGAAGGUUUUAUUCAUAAUAGUAGUGAGAGGAAUACUAGACUUAGACACAAGUUUAUGUAAAACUUUGAAAGAGAGAUGACCCAAUCUUUGACGCCAAAUCUCUGGAGAAGCUUUGAUAGUAGCUGCAAAAUCUUAUGUGAACCAUCAUUGACAGAUGUAAUGAAUGGAUAAAAUCCAUUUUGCACAGGUCCUUUAAAAAGCGUCCUCUUCGAAAUAUGAUCCUUCACAGCGAAGUGAAAAUGAUAUAGGCGAAUUGAACACCAAUUAUCAAGUGUAAAUUUAUUUGCAGAGAGUAAAUCUUGCUUCAAAUCAGGCACAUGUAACACAUCAUGCAAAUCAAAACGAUGAUGAGGAGUAGAUAUAGAGGUAGAACCAGAAUUAGAUAUAGGCAAACCUUCACCAAUGUAGACUUGUUCAGGGCCGGUGUAUGGUGCUGGAUUUUGAAGAUUCGCCAGAGAACUUGUCAUAUGUGAGCUAGCUUCUGAAUCAAGAAGCCAGGAAUGAGAAGUACUCUGUGAAGGAUUAGCACACAUAGCCAUCUAAGAAUGUCGAUUGCCAAACUGAGGAUUCAUACAAUGAGGGCAAUCAUAGGCUUCAUGAUUAUACUGACGACAUAUUUGACAAGUUGAUAUUCUGCCACUGAAAUUAAAGCCCGAGCGACCUCCACAAUUGUUCCUCUGAGUAUAGCGAGAGUAAUUUGGACGCUGACUGUUACCACAAUAACCGGAGAAAUUGCCCUUAUUUUGAGAAUUCCUAGGGUUAGACAAAAUGCGAGCUUGAGAACAACCUUGAUACUGAUUAAACUAAGAUGAAUUCUGAGCAAGAAAGGCCUGAGAGCCAGUAUUGGAAGUCGGUGUAGGAAGAAUGCCAGAGGAUAAUGCAAGAUUCGAAUUGAGGCCUGAAAAACGCCAGAGGAUGUAGUAGCUUUCUUGCGAGUGGUAAGCUGAAUUUCUUUACUUAGAAGUAAGCCAUGUAACUCAUCAAGUGUUGUAGAGCCAAGACGGAAUUGGAUCGCAUCAACAAAGGAAUCAUACUCCGGCGGCAGGCUAUGAAGAGUUAUAGAAAUCAGAUCAGAGUCUUCAGUCGGAGCUUCGGCGCUGGCAAGAGCAUCAGCAAUGUCUUCAAUUUGUUGAAGAUAAGCAAAGGCGGUGGAAUCACCUUUUGAAAUAUUAUGAAGACGAGAUCGGAGUUCAUGAAUAUGUGAUUGAGAAGCUGCUGCAAGGCACGAUUCAAGCUUAGACCAUAGCUCUCGAGAGGAAUUUACACCCAUAGUAUAGGGAAUUAGGGAUUCAGAAAGUGUAGAGUUGAUCCAUAUGAGAAUAUUUUGAUCAUUCGCAUACCAAGAAACAUAGUCAGGGUUGAAAUUGCGAUUACCGGAAGAAUCAAGAAGAAAUUGAGGCGGUGCCGCCAUAGAUCCAUCAAUGAGACCGGUAAGAUUGUAGCGACGGAAGAUUGGGGCAAAGAGAGCACUCCAGGUCAAGUAAUUUGUAGUGGUGAGCUUGAUUGGCACCAUAGAUCCGAUGUUUUGGAUCAUAAUGGAGGUAGAAGAGAAGAAUUAGGGUUUGAGGAAGAAGUCGGAAUGGGAUGAACAUGUGUAGCCGAUUCCGACGAAGGAUACGCCAUGGCUGAAUUGAUGAGAGAAACUUGAAGAGAUCAAACGCGAUCGAGAAAUCGAUCAGAGAAUCAGAGAAUCAGAAAAGAGAAAAAUUGUAGGGAGAAGCGAGAAGGAUUGGAUCGAAGAGGGAGAAGUCAAAAGACAAAGGCAGGUGAUACCAUAUUAGAAAAGUAUUCUCAUUGAAUGAAUAAUUAUAGUACAUUUGGUAUUUAUACAGAGAGCUAUAUUUGAUAGCUCAUCAAAACUAACCUAUAACUAUCCAAUACCAAACUAACUGUCCAAUGACUAAUUACAACAUAAAUCACUAACUAUCCAAUGACUAAUUACAACAAAAUCAAGAUAAACAACUAUCCUUAAUACCCUAGCCAUUCAUGGAGAUCAUGGUGGCCUUGUCAUAUAUGGGGAGGACCAAAAUACCCCUUUCUGGUCCGCUAAUGUCACCGUCUCUUCUCCAAACAAAUUCGUGGUAGCCAAGCUUUUGGAUACGGGCUGGACAGGCAGUCCGGGCUAAACCGGUUCCCCACAUCUUGGAAGUCCCAAAAUGACCCGGGAACGGGCAACUGUUAGUACCGGAUAGAGUCAAGUGAGAGUCCACAGCAGUUCUUAUGCAAGGGUCAGACUCCAUUAUGGGGGGCAGUGGCGAAGCUACGUGAGGACGAGGAGUGGCAGCCGCCCCUCCCCUCGCCGGAAAUCAAGCACAGGAGCGGCGAUUCCGCCCCUCCGAUCUCGUCGGAAGUGAUGAAAUUCCGUUUGGUUUUCUGGCCUUUUGGGUUUCCCUGUUCUAUCACAGCACAGGCUGAUCACGGGCUCUCUUUUUUUUUCCAAAAAAAAAAACCUAGGCCAAAGAAAUGAGGAAUGAAGAUCUGCAUUUAGCAGCUUCUGGAUAUUGGAAAUGUUCUGGUUUGGUUCUAACGAAGAAGAGGAGAAAGGAAGAAGAGAGAGACUCUCUCUCUCCCAUCCCACCCCACGUGACCUUUACAAUUUGUUUUUUUUUUAAAUAUUGGCCAACCAAUAUGCGCCACCUAACCUGCUUUUGUUGAUUUAUAUUGGAAUUUAUUUUAUUUUUUAAUUAUUGUCCAAUUAAUUUGACCAAUCUUUCAAUAUUUAUUAAACCACUUGUUUGACACUGUUAUUUAUCUUAAAAUUCACUAUAAUUUAUACGAGCUUCAAAAAAUAAUUUGUAAAAUAUUAAAAACUUGUAAUUAUGUUUUUUCUUCUCUUACCAUCAAAUUCAACAAAGUAAUGAAGAAAAUUUGUCAAUAUUUUUAUAUAUUAUAUGUUUUAUAAUCAAUGUUUUUUGGAUAUUACAAACUAUAUAAUAAAUAGACAAUUAUUUAUACGGUGUAUAAUAAAUUUAUUCAAAUUUGCCUAGGUCCUUGCCGAAGUGUAAAGUCAUGUCCAUCGUCUGACUAGAGCUUAACAUCUUUUAAAACUUUGCUAAUUAUACAGUUAAGUAAUAGGACGAUACAACGAGAAACGGUGCUAAAUCAUCCUUCAAAUAAUAUUGUUUUUCAAACCCUCCUUCGACUAUUUUGAGUAGUCCAAAUCCUCUUUUGAAUAUUUCGGUUAGUGCAAAUUCUCCUAUGAAUAUUACGGGUGGUUCAAAUAAUCUUCUUGCAAAUGCAAGACUUACACCUCGAAUGAAUGUUCACAUUUUUCGGGACCCUAAAUUUUUUAAAUUUCGCCCCUCCCCCCAAGAAUUCCUGGCUUCGCCACUGGUGGGGGGCUGGAUCUUGGACCAGUGAAAGAUGGUCCAGGGUGCCUGCAAUGACGAAAAUUUUCAUCUUCAACGCUACUUUUGUGAACAAUCAAGAUGAGGUAUCCGUCAUGUAUGGUAUUGUUGAUGAAUCAAUCUUCUCAAAAUUGGUGAUCGAUGAAUCAGGAAUCCUUGAACGGACCAAAUGGCAAGAUCAAGCGCAUCAAUGGGUCAAGUUUUGGUCCGCCCCGGUUAAGCAAUGUGAUUUUUACUGGAAGUGUGAUUUUUACAUUGCGGAUAAAUUUGAGUGCAAUUGCCUACCUGGAUUCGAACCCAAGUUGCAACAUGAGUGGUAUUUGAGAGAUGGGUCAGGCAGGUGAGUGAGGCAAAAAGGAUCAUCCGUUUGCCAAAACGGGGAAGGGUUUGUGAAGUUGGAACGUGUGAAGGUGCCGAACGCUUCUAUGACACGGGAGAGCAUGAGUAUGAGUCUGAAAGCAUGUGAAGAAGAAUGCCUGAGAAAUUGUUCUUGCAUGGCAUACGCAAUUGCAGAUGAAGGGCAGGGAGGGAGUGGGUGUAUAACAUGGCAUGGGGACUCGAUGGACACAAGGACUUAUUCGGAUACGGGUCUAGAUUUAUAUGUGCAAGUUGAUGCAAUUGUUUUAGGUAUAUUUUCAUUAUCAAUUUAUCUUCUUUCUUUCUUUACAUUAUCAAUAAUUUUCCUCGUACCGUCGACGUUCCAUGAAAAAAAAACUCUUCUUUCUUUUAUUUCAUAAAAUAUUUGAGGAAUUAUUAUUUAGUUUGGGAGCCGUACGUUUGUUAACGUUCUAAAGAAAUCAUUUGGCACGGGUCUCUUGACAAAUAAUAAAAGUGAAAUUGUUUCAUUAAGAGUGUAAGAUGAUUUUUUUGGAGUACUCAUAAAUUUUGGAAAUUAAUAUAAGUUCUCACGCUAAAAAUUGAGUUUCAUACAUCUGUUAAAAUUGUUAUUAAAUCAACCGUUAACUGGUGACGUGAUGCUUACGUGGAUAAUAAUUAAGCGCCACGUGUCAAUGGGCCCACGUGGACAUUAAAAAUAAAAAAAAUUCAAGGCUUCUCCUACCUCACCCCCUCCGUCUCUUCUCCCUUCUCCCACCUCUGCACCGACCCUUCCGCACACCAACCUUCAAUUCCUCUUCAAUUCUACGCUCUCCCUCUCUCUGUGACAAAAAAAGAAAAUUUUAACUCUUUUUUUUUCUGGGCGUCUCCUACCUCACCCCGCGCGUCCCCCCCCCCCUCCCCCCGGCGCGCCUACUCCCGUGAACUCGCCUCCUCCUUCGGGAUCACGUUCUGAUAAAAAAAAUUUAAGGAACCUAGCCCUCGGAAACCCUCCUUCAGCAAAUUCGAAGAACCAAAUCCCCGAGGGACCUGAUUUCGACCAACAACCGAAAGUGGGUGUGCCCAGGAGCGACGACUGAGGGGAUUUGCUAAGGUGGUUGUGCCCAGGAGCAACGACAGUGAAUCGGCGGCAGGAAGGUUGAAUUGAAAGGUGGGAGUUGUCUUAAUAGCGCCAUAUCACCAGUUUGUAAGAAACCUAAUUGGACUAAAUUAAAUUGUAUAAGAAAGAAAUGCAUUUGCCAAUUGUACAAACUGGUGGGAGUUGUAAACGUGCAAAACUGCUUACUAUAAUCAAGGAAUAUGUGGUGAUUCUGAUCAGGAAACAACUUGCAAUCUGAAACUGCAAAUAACUGUAAAGAACCAACGGUCCACGAUAGAUGGAAGUUGGCAAAGGUUAUACUUAUAAAAGGACUCCCUGCUCACAAAGAAAACGUUCUGUAAUUAGGGUUCUAUCACCAUUGGAACAUAAGGUCUUGAGUGAGUAGAAGAAUUCUUGAGUGUGUUAACAGUAACCAUGGCUGCACUAGGUAAGUCUUUCUUAUCUAAUUUCAAAUUGUGACCUAGUAUGCAUGCUAAUAACUAAGGUUUUUCCAACAUUUGGUAUCAAAGCUAUGUUAGCAAGCCCCUAGGUCGGAUGAAUUAAUAAAAAAUCCUAAUGCUUUAAGAAUGUACAAAAUUUGUAUGGUGAUUGCUGCAGUUUAUUUUUAUCGUGGGCACUAUAAUUCUUCCACUAAUAUGUAUUUCUCUUCUCUGUGUUUGUGUUGGUUGGUGGAGUUGGGUUUUUUGGAUCUUUUGAAUUGGAGCUUCAAAUUCCAUCGUGCAUGUGUGGUUCAAGCAUGUUGCCCAAUCUGAAAUUCUCACUCUCUCAAUCGGCUGGAUGGUGUCUUGGUUUUGUUGAUGCUUGGUUGAAGGAACAGAUAAUCAUGCUAUUUUAACCAUUGGACAAAUGUUUAUUAAAUCUUCACCAAAGUGGGAUUUUAUGGAAAUUUUGGUCUGGGACAGGAAGCAUGGAGUGAUUCAAUUUCCAAGGCUUUAACUCUUGUUGACGACGAAACCAAGCAAAGAUCGCAGGGCCUCAAGAAGAUCUUACUGGCCUCGGUCUUGGCCAUGGUGGCGGAGACGACGUUUCCGGUAGACAUUACGAAGACUUCCAUUUUGCUGCGAUAAUGACUGCUCCAAUGAUCAUGGAUUCAAUUGGGGGAAAUGCCGAAAAUGGCAAACUCCUUUCUCGAGGAGGUGCUGGACCAUGUGUUCUCAUUCAUAUAGACGAACCAGGACCGGAACUUGAUUUCGGUAGUGUGUGCAAGUUGUGGUACGAGAUCAAACUAUGGUGCUGGCGGCGUGCAAAACUGCUUCCUAUAAUCAAGGAAUAUGUGGUGAUUGUGAUCAGGAAACAACUUGCAAUCUGAAACUGCAAAUAACUGUAAAGAACCAACACUCCACGACAGAUGGAAGUUGGCAAAGGUUAUACUUAUAAAAGGACUCUGCUCACAAAGAAAACAUUCUGUAAUUAGGGUUCUAUCACCAUUGGAACAUAAGGUCUUGAGUGAGUAGAAGAAUUCUUGAGUGUGUUAACAGUAACCAUGGCUGCACUAGGUAAGUCUUUCUUAUCUAAUUUCACAUCGUGACCUAGUAUGCAUGCUAAUAACUAAGGUUUUUCCUACACAGUUAACUGCUGAUUUAACAGCAAUAUUAACAUAUGUAUGAAACUGUCCCAAACUUAUGACUUCAGGUACCAUUCUGGGAUGAAAAAAACUUCAUGUACCAAAUGUUGAAAAUCAAGAAACUUCAGAGUAGUAAAUUGAGAUUAACCUUUGUUAAAAAUUAUAAUCCUCUUAUCUGUACGGUGAUUUAUACAAAACACUGUACAAAUGGUGAUUUUUACAUAAAACUAUAUUAUAGUGAUUUCUACAUAAAAUUAUAUCAAAAAUAUUUGAGAUGGUAGUCAAAUCUUAUGCAUAAAACUCUCUUAUGAUAGUGCAAAAGUUUUUACUGAUUAGAAAUAGUUCAAAAUUGUUUGAGUGCGGUAUUGGACUUGAAUUUUUUAAACUGACUCUAGCUCAUAUCUCAUAAGAAUCAAGCCAAGCCUACUUGCGAGCUCGAAAAAAUUAAUCAAGCCAAAUUUAAACACAAUAGUAUUCGGUUCGGCUUGACUAGUUUCCAAUCCUACAUUUAUUUAUUUAUUUGUUGAUAUUUGCUCUUUACUUCUUUUCUAUAAAAUUGUUUCUUGCAAAAGAAAAGCGUAUAAUGUUGACCCAGCAAUAGAAUUAUAAUGGUCUAGCAUAACUCUUGUAUAUUAUUAUAUGGUUUUUCAAACUAAAUAAGGGCUUUGUUAUGUGCUUUUUGUAGAAGCAUUUUAAGUGUUUUUUUUAAUAUUUACUUGCAUUUUUACAGAUCAUUGAUACCAAAGCACUCUUAUUAAAAGAACUUUCAAUUAUUUAAACACUUUUAAAUGAACCCUAAAAUACAGAAAAAAAUAAAAACAAAACAGCGUAAUAGGAUGAGCUUUUCGGUUAACAUGUACAUAAUUUAGUCUAUCCACUUUGGCAUUCUAAUGGCGGCACUAACAUAAUUUAGUCUAUCCACUUUGGUAACGUAAAGAAGUGGUAAACCACGAAUUUAAACUUUGGCAGAAGAAAGCAAAAGAGUUGAAUAAAUUAUUACUGGAUGGUUCAAUGAACCCAAAAAUAUCAGAUUUUGGCAUAGUAAGAAUGUUUGGGGAUGACCAAAUUGAAGCAAACACGAACAAAGUUGUUGGCACCUAGUAAUUGUCUCCUCUCCCUAUAAAAAAAAUAAAAUUAAGUAGAACCGAUAUAUAUAUAUAUAUACAUUUUUUUUGAUAUUGUGUGAUUGCAGCGGUUACAUGUCACCAUAGUAUGCUAUGGAUGGGUUAUAUUCCACAAAAUCCGAUGUGUUUAGCUUUGGAUGCUUGGCACUAGAGAUCAUUAGUGGAAGGAAGAACAGCUUCCAAUUCGAAAAGUCAUCUUUGAAUUUGGUUGGAAUAGUAAGUAAACAAAUAAUUUUUCAGACGAUGAAUCUAACUUUCGAGUAGUCCAAUGAUCUAAACAUUGUGCUCAAAAUUGUUUCAAAUAUGGGAUUUGUGGACAGAAGGAAAAGUUUUGGACAUAAUUGAUUCAUCACUGAAGCAGUCAUAUUCGACUCAUGAAGUUAUGAAAUACAUUCAGAUUGGGCUUUUGUGCGUGCAAGAGUACCUAACAGACCGGCCAACCAUGCUAGAUGUUGUGUUCAUGUUGGGGAAUGAAACGAUUCUUCCACAUCCGAAAAAGGCAACGUUUAGCUUGAAAAACAGUGGUCUGGAUUCUUCAAUUUGUAAAGGUUCUUCUUUUGUAAAUGAUGUAACAAUAAUAGUUAUUGAAGCUCGUUGAGUUCGCACUUUGCGGGCUCUUGUAGAGAUUUUGCAUUACUUCUCAAGUUUUUUUACUCAAAUCGAGAUUCCUUGUGGAGAGAAGAGGCAAUGCCUUUGAAAUUGUUGAUUCAUCUCUGGGCAAAUCGUACCCUGUCAACGAAGUUGUGAGAUGCAUCUAAAUUGCCCUGUUAUGGACUGUAAGUAGGAUUAGAGUUUAGUUAUAAGCUAUAACUUGGGUUCCAUGUAAAGAUAAUAUUCUAGUUAUUCUUGGAGAAUAAGAGCUCCUGAUAUUAUCCUAUUUUGAUUUAGAUUUGGUAGAUUAUUUCCUCGUACAAUAACGAGUCCUACUGACAUCAUUAUGGGAGGAUGAAUUAGGUUUUUUUUUUAACAAACGAUAUUAUCUACACUAAGGGGGUGGCAGAGUGGGCUAUGCCUCAUAAUAGGGUUCAAAUUUGCCUUUGGCGAGAAUCGAAUCUAAACCUCUCACUUACCAGUGAAGAAGAAUAUCAUUAGACUGUAGUACUAAGUGGCGGGAGGAUGCAUUAGGAUUGAGUUAGUAUAAAUACUAAACAUAAGUCCCUGCACAUACCACUAAAUAACAACCCAAAAGAAUUCCCCAGAGGUUUGAGUUAUACAAUGGUGGUGAGUGUGUAGGCGGCCUUGCUUGUGUUCUUAGUGUGCUCGUGUGCUUGCUGCAAUUCGUGGCUUGUUGUGCUAUUGAGAAUGGCUUCUCAAGGUUAGUGUUUUCAUGGCGUUUUGAUUCACAUGAACAUAUUAGGUUUAACAGAGUAUGCCACUGAGCUGCCAACAAUGUCGGUGGUUGUUUUCAUGCUAGGUAAUGAAGCAGCAGCUCCAUCACCAAAACAACCAGCAUUUUUAUUGGAGUUAUAUAUAACAAUGGAGACCCAUCACCACAAUACUGAAGGAUAAAAUUUUGUAAACGAUGUGAGAUGUAGUAGCGUAGAACCUCGCUAAAACUCUUAAGAUAUUCCGAAAUGCUGUAUGUUAAGCAACUAUUGGUAGCUUGUAAAAGGUUAUUAACCACAAAAAUUUUGCCUCAAAUAAGUAGGUUCCAAUUUUCUUUCUAGUGCAUUGACAUGCAGGGCAUGUCAAAAUUAUUGGUCUCGAUUACAACGUAAUUGAAGAGAAAUUAUACUAGUCUAGUUAGCUAAUUCUGUAAAUUAUGUGACAUAUAUUAUGGUGGGGCCUUAGCUAACAGAAAACUUGGCGAGAAAUCGAGCACAAUGACAUUAUAGAAUUCAUACAACUGACUUUACUUAAUAAGAUAAGACUUUAUUGUUGUUGUUGUUUGUACUAUGGUGGAUGCUUGAUUGCUAACAGCCUUGGAUUUGAAAUGUAAAUCCGUCCACUACAUAUGACACAUUCACAUUUAUUAGAGUUUAAGAAUGAGAGAUUUGUGUUAGUCAAACUUCAUGUACAGGAGAGAAGAUGUUGAUCUGUGAUGCUUUGCUUGCCAAAUAAAUAAAAGGAAAAUUAAUGAAAAUGACUUGAAAACUUUGAAUUUUAACAAAAAUGACAAAAAGAUGUUGUAAGUGAAUAGUACGAGGAGUGACUUUUUAGAGUAAAUUCGUUAAAGUAAACAGUACCAAAAGUAUUUCGUUAAAACUCCCGUAAAUAAAUUCCAAGACUUUUCAAAUUGGUUGACCUUUAUUUCAUUUUAUAACAGAUCGCUUUUACCAUAAUGUCCAUACUAAUCACACCUAGCAUUUUACUAUCUACUAGCACAUUACGGGGUGUUGAAUUUUAUGACAAAAAUGAAAGUUAAAAUCAUUUAUUAUAUAUUGUAAUUUAUUUAUCAAUUUUUCGACAUAUAUUUUUGCAUUCUUCAACAGCGUGAACAUCUCUCUCCCUGGCCACUACGGGUCGUACUUGGCCCCAUUCGGAGCCAAUUUGUCUUAUCAAUCUACUGAAUACAACUGGUGUGGUCAGAAUUGAUGAAGUGGAACUUUCUAGCUAGGAUCAGUUUGAGGGAAUUGUUAUGUCUCGUCCACAUGUUUGCCUGGAAGUUGCGUGUAAGUUCAUGUUGCAUCAACGACUGGAAAUCGAGGGUGCGUUCACCGUUGCAUCAACGACUGGAAGUCGCCCGUAUGCCCUUAGAGUUACUGAAACUCAAUCCAAGAAAACAAAAUCCAACCUUUCCGGCUUUUUGUUUCUGCAUGUCAAAAGAAGCAGCCAUUUUAGCACUUAAACUCCUCCAUGAGAAAGCUAACAAUGAAUUCUACUGAAUACUUUUUUGUCAGUACUGUAUUGCUCCUCUUCCUUGUGAUUCUUCCCUCUUCCAUUUCGGUUACCCUAGACGCCAUUACACCAAACCAACCCCUAAGAGAGGACGACGUUCUUCUCUCCACCACUAAAUUCUUUGCACUAGGGUUUUUUAAGCCAGGCAAUUCUCGUAACCGUUACAUCGGAGUUUGGUACAACAAAAUUCCAAUCCAAACCAUUGUUUGGAUUGCAAACAGAGAAAACCCCAUAGUUCCUACUGCUGGAACUGGACUUCUAGCCAUUCAUGCAGAUCACGGUGGCCUUGUUUUGUAUGGGGAGGACCAAAAUACCCCUAUCUGGUCCACUAAUCUCACCGUCUUCUCCAAACAAUUCCGUGAUAGCCAAGCUUUUGGAUACGGGAAAUCUUGUUGUAGUUGAAAUUAAUGGCGGUAGUAGUGAAAAGGUGUUGUGGCAAGGUUUUGAUUAUCCCACAAAUACGAUGCUUCCUGUUAUGAAACUUGGGCUGGACAGGCGAUCCGGGUUCAACUGGUUCCUCACAUCUUGGAAAUCCCAGGAUGACCCGGGAAUGGGCAACUGUUCGUACCGGAUAGAGCCAAGUGAGAGUCCACAGGGGUUCUUAUACAUGGGUCAGACUCCAUUGUGGCGGACUGGACCUUGGAUCGGUGAAAGAUGGUCCGGGGUGCCUCAAAUGCAAA
rnacentral:lncRNA from 1 species